ACACGACGUCUAAGACGUCUCCUAGGACGUCCAACGUCCCACAUCGCCUAGUUUCACUCUUUUCUGUCAAAUAAUAUAAAUAGGGACUUGUGCAUUCGGUUUUAGGGUUACCACCUGCGAUUUUCAGAGUUUUUCCUGCGUUUUUAAGGCUUCUAAAACCCUUGAAAACAUUUGGAAACACAAGUCCAUUCCAUUUCAAUCCGGAUUCAAGGCAAGAUUCGAUUCAAUUCAUCAUCAAGCUAUAAGUGAAGAUCGUUUCAUUGGUUAAUCUUCAUCAAUUCUUUAUUUUCCAGAAUUAUUUCUUCUUCCCCAAGGUUUAUUUGUUCUAUACUUUGAUAAUCAUUAGGCUACAUUUGUUUGAUGAUUCUACGUUUGUUUAUGAAUUCUAUUAUGCAUUUUAUUCAUUUUAAUCAAGUUAUUUGUUUUAUGAACUCAAUGGAAGGCUAAACCGUUAGGGUUACUUCCGGGGAUGUUUAUGACUUUUGGAUGAACACACUUGAUUAUUACUUGAUUCUAAUUAAUUUCAAUUGUUAUUUUAUGGUUCAUAUGAUGAUCUUUGGUAAUGAUAAGUGAAAUUGGGUUGUAUGAAUUGUUUGAUGUCAUAAUUAAGAUAGUCUGUUGUCAAAUUCAUCAUUUGUUCCAAGUUCAAUUAGUUUAGAAAUAAAGACAAGUGAUUGAAUCAACAUAUAUUAUUCCAAGUUACGAUAUUGAAUGUUAAUGCAGCAAUAGGUAGUUGUAAGACAUUUUAUUGCUAGUUCACUAAUUCUCCCUAAUCCAUUUAGACAUAAAUGAGUAAGAAAACUAGUUGAAUAAACAUCUAGUAUACCCAAAACUAUGUGUUACAAGUUAAUAAAACCCAAUUGCAUCUAUGUAAUUGAAUUAGGAUCCUAGGGAAGAAAUUGUGUGAAUCUAAAUUGUCCAUAACUGAACCGGGAGUACUCUAGUUUUCUCAUUGAGAUUUUUAUUUUUAAUUAAUAAAUUUCCAAGCUUUUGUUUGAAUUUUGUUUUAAUCUUUUUCGUGACAAUUGAUAGUAAUAAUUUUCUUUUUAUUGACUGCUUUGACACAAAGUUUAACCACGAACUUCUUGUGGAUUCAACCCGACUUACCAUAUCUACUUAGGUUAGUUGGUUUAUUUUUGAUUGAGACAACGACCUCGAUCAAAAUUUGGCAUCGUUGCCUUGGAGAUUGUGCGCUUGAACUAUUGUGUUUAAGUAGUUAUAGUCUUUUACUUUCAUUUUCAAUUCUUGUUUUCAGUUCACGUUUUGUUUUAUUUGUGUGGUGCAGGCACACCGGUGCAUGCAUACAAGACAUAGCGGACGCUCUUCACCGCUUGAAUUUGAUCCGGAAAUCUAACGAACAGCUCGCUCAAGUCGGGUCGCCAGAAGGAACAUCAACACUAUGAGUGUAGAUAACGUUGUCGUGGAAGAUGUGGUUGAGGGGCAUGAGGAUGAAGCCAACAAUCCUCCACCACUAGUUCCACCACUAGCUCCUCAAUUCCCAAACAACAAUGAUGGGAAUAAUGGGAAUAACAACAAUGUCGGUGCACCAAUCAUCCAACCAGUGCAACCACAACCAAAUAGAAACAACCGUGGCCAAAAUGGUGGGAAUGGAGGAAAUUGGGCACAAAAUAUGGGAGGCAAUGCAGGAAACCACAACGGUGGUAAUGCUAGAAAUCAAAACCAAAAUCCUAGAAAUGUCGGUCCUCAAUUUGGUAAUGGUGGUAACGAGGAUGACUGGGAUUUUGAUGAUGGAAGUGACAAUGGACUUGGUUGGAACCAGAACCACAACGGUGGUAAUAGACGGAAUCAAGGCAAUCGGGGUGGAAACGGGAACUACAACAAUAAUUGGAACAACCACAGUUUCCCUAAUCGUGGCAACAAUGACUACAACGAUGGAUUCGGAAAUCAAGGCUUUGGGAAUCAAUAUUGAAGGAAUCCAAAUGGUGGAUUCAACAAUGCAAACGGAGGAUACUACAACGAAGGUAACCAAUUCCCUCAUCAUUAUUUUCCGCAGCCUAAUAGACAAUCUGUGACGUCUCAUUUUCAGCCGGGAGAGUAUGAUGAUGCUUCACCUAUACUCUUUGCGAAAGGAAAUGAGCAUCAUGUGGAAGUAAGACCACAACUAAUUAGUGUCUUACCCGUCUUUAGAGGCCAUAAAACUGAUGAUCCAUACAAUCACCUCUAUGAGUUCCUUGCAAUUGCUAACGCGAAUACUCCGCGAGGAACUAAUAGAGACUCCUUUAGACUUCACUUAUUUCCGUUCACUUUAAAAGACCAAGCUAAGUAUUGGUUCACUUCUCUUACCCCCAUAGUAUUACUACUUGGGAGCAAUUAAAAACUAAAUUUUUGCAAGAGUUUUACCCUGCUAGUAAAACAACGGAAAUAAGAAAAGCUAUACAAGAUUUUGCAAAAAAACCCAAUGAAGAAUUUCAUGAUGCAUUUGAACCCCUCAAGGAAUUGUUGCGUUCAUGUCCCCAUCAUGAAUUUCCCCGUUGGCAACUUGUACGUUUCUUUUCUGAUGGAGUCGACACUGCCAAUCAAACCAUGAUUAAUGCCUCGUCUGGCGGCACUAUUAUGAUGCAAGAUAGUGAAGACACUUGGCGAUUAUUGGAGCAGUUGUGUAACACCCCAAAGUUUGGAAAGUCAAGAAAAGAAAGAAGACCUCAAUUUUAAGGGGAGACUCAGCGAGUCCAUGGAGGGACUCGGCGAGUCCGAGCGGGAUCCGGGUCGAGGUGUAAGCGACCGACUCGGCGAGUCGGCGAGGGAGACUCGACGAGUUGGGUCUGAACGAGGAAAACCCUAAAUCCGGGACUUGGAGCCUAUUUAAGCGUCUCAUUCUCCUUCCUAGGGUUCCUUUACUGCCUCUCUACCCCAGAACACCAAACCCUAGCCACCAUAUCUGUUUUUGAGCUAGAUCUUUCUUUGAAGAGUGCACUAAAGCUUGGAGAAGGAAGAAAGGCCUUGGAGGUGCAAGAAGGGACUGUAGAUCCGGGAUUGAGAAGUCAUUUCAGACCAAUUGGAGGUAAUAAGCUGUUGCUUGGACUCCCUUUGCACCUAGAUCUAUUCUUAUGUGUGAGUUUUGGACAUUUUGGCAUGAUAAGUAACCAUUUCGAGUUAGAGGUCCAGAUCUGAGGUUGCUACCUCAGAUCCAUGUUUUUUUUGGUCUAGAAUCCCCUAAAGUAUCAGCCCUUGGUAUGUUGAAGAAGUAUGUUGCCAUAAACCCUAGUUUGAAUGUGUUUUAAGCCUAGAUCUCUUGAUCUACACGUAAAGUUUGCCACUUUACGUGGGGGAUAGGCCUUAGAAGUAUGGAUCUAUGAGUUGGAAGCCCUGCUUGGCUCGAAAAGCCACUGCAUGGAUUAAGGACUGAAUAGACUCGGCGAGUCCUUCGAGUGGACUCGGCGAGUAUCUUGAAGAUGAGGAGGAACUCGACGAGUGGGAUGAACAGCUCGUCGAGUCGGAUGAAGUUAGGCAUCAACUCGGCGAGUUGGAAGAACAACUCGACGAGUUGGUUGAAGAUUGCCUUGGACUCGGCGAGUCUAUUAGUGGACUCGGCGAGUCAGGUCGCGAAACCUCAAACCCUUCGAGUUGAGACUCGAAUCAGUGAGUCGGGUGGUGACUCAGCGAGUUGGACAGGACAGGACUUGGAACUAGUUGGACUCGGCGAGUCAUAGAAUGACUCGGCGAGUCGAGUCGCGAAUAGAAAGACCCUGAGCUUAUGAACUCGGCGAGUCAUUAGGAGGACUCGGCGAGUAGGGUUGACCUGGAAGGUUGACUUUGACCAGAGUUGACUUAGUUGACUGUCAGACUAAGUGUUAUAUGUAUAUUGAUAGCUCGGAGAGCUAGAGGAGCAGCGGUUCAGGGGAUUGUCGAGUAGCAGCCAGAGGUUUAUCAGCAGAGCUCAGCAGUUCAGGUGAGUUUCCCUUCAGUAGGAACGGGUCUAAGGCCACAAUGCCGGCCCGUUUAGCUAGCAGUAGUUUCCGGAUUUUGAUCUGAUGCAGUAGUUAGUAUGUUUGAUGCCUUCGUGGCUCAGACAGGAUUUAUGUGUUAUGUGUUCCGGGCUACGGCCCGAUGUAGUAUGCAGUAUAUGUGUGUUCAUGCUAGUUGAUAUGUUUAUGUUAUGUUCUGUUCAGUUAGCCCGGACUUCGGUCCGAUGCAGGGGACAAGGUCCCAGUUAGUCCGGACUUCGGUCCGAUGCAGGGGGCAAGGCCCCAGUUAGUCCGGACUUCGGUCCGAUGCAGGGGACAAGGUCCCAGUCAGUUUCCGGACUUCGGUCCGAUGCAGGGGGCAAGGCCCCAGUUAGUCCGGACUUCGGUCCGAUGCAGUGGGCAAGACCCAGUAUGUGCUUUACAUGUUAUUAUGUGGUAUGUGGUAGAUUGGGGGAGCUCACUAAGCUUCGUGCUUACGGUUUUCAGUUUUGGUUUCAGGUACUCGGUUUUCAAAAGAGGAGCUCGGGAAGAUUGCAGAGCACACACCAUAGUCAGUUAGCCUGGGGAUGUUUGACUCUGAUAAUAAGAUUAUGUUUUGAAUUAAUACUCGAAAGUUAUGUUUUGACUUAUGAUACGUUUUUAUAAAUCUGGUUUAGUAAUGUUUUUAAAAGAAAUUUUUAGUCGUGAUUUUUGGGUCGUUACAAGUUGGUAUCAGAGUCUUGGUUUGAGGGAUUCGGACAUGCUCUCGAGCGUGUCUGGACUCAAACUGAGGGAUUGGUAUAAAGGUUUUCAAAAAUGAAAAGACAGUUUUGUAAAAAGAGAGUUUGGAGAAAGAAAACGGUUUUAGAAAAGUAAAAAGAAUUCAGAAAGAAAGAACUUUGAAAAGAGAAAAGGGUGUGGUGCAUGCAAUCAGCCGAGCUCAAGUAAGUACUCCCAAGUUACCCAUACAAGUUAUGUUAUGAGUAUCAGUUUCAGUUUCAGUUUCAGUUUCAGUUUCAGCUUCAGUAGAACAGCAUGCUAGAAUAGGACUAAGGAUCUAGGAUGAUGCCUUAUGUGCCUGCUUUAUGUUUUCAGCUUGAUAAGAAUUUCAUGCUAGUAUUGAGUAGACAGUAGUGGGAUAGCCUGUGUAGGUUAUGCCUGAUAGUAUGAGCUUAGCAGUGUAUGCUAGUACAGUUUUUUUGUUACGAGAAUAGUUUUGCCUGAGUAUGUUUCCUUUAUCCGAAUGCUGCUUGCUUUGUGCUUUGUGGGACUCUGAGUGAUGGGAGCUAGCCAUUAGCUGAAUACGUCACAUCACAUGUGACCAGGGUUGAAUAAUCUCAGAGUGCUGGAUUUGGCCCUACUGCGCAGCUCAUUUUGAGUCUAACCGUUGUAGGGACGAGACUUUUACUCGAACGAUUAUCCGAGCCUCAUUGCAUGUGAUGGUAUUCAGGUGGUGGCUAAUUGGCAUUACAAGGAGGCCUUCAGCAGCUGAGGACUGGAUUGGGUGGAGUCAGAAGUUCCCUAGGGCAAGCCUAGGAUGAGAGUAGCAGAGAUCAAUAUUAGUAGAAGUGAGUUGGUGGAGUUGAGGUGACUCUUGAGGAAAGUACAGAUAGAUGUGGAAGGUAGUAGGGGCCCAUACUACUGAAAGCAGAAGAUCCGUACUCGAUUCAAGAGGGGCCAAGACGAAACCAGAGUUGGUGGAGUGAGAAAUCCCUCAGCGGUAGUGUGUAAAUUGAUCAGGAAUUGUUAUAUUUUCAGCAAGGUGAUAUUGCGCGAGCUACCAGUUAGCAGUUCAGGCGUCGAGGAGGGAUCGGGCUCGGGCUUUAGAGCCGGGCAACUUGAUGAUCAGAUGAGGGAUUUCAUUUCCGCAGAGAUCGCGCGCAACAUCAUUGAUCAGACUCCAGUGAUUUUCGGUUCGGUUAGGGAGGCCAUUGUGGAGCUCAUGGACAGUCAUCUUGAGGCCUUUAAGGUCGGGAUAGUUUCAGGACAGGUUGGGGCUCGUCUAGAUCCCGAUUCUUAUGGAGUUCGGGGAUCCAUCAGGGAGGGAGACCCCAUUUCUAGUUUUUGCCAUCAGGGGACAGGAGUGAGUGGGGCAUCCUGUCUCCAAGAGAGACCUNNNNNNNNNNNNNNNNNNNNNNNNNNNNNNNNNNNNNNNNNNNNNNNNNNNNNNNNNNNNNNNNNNNNNNNNNNNNNNNNNNNNNNNNNNNNNNNNNNNNNNNNNNNNNNNNNNNNNNNNNNNNNNNNNNNNNNNNNNNNNNNNNNNNNNNNNNNNNNNNNNNNNNNNNNNNNNNNNNNNNNNNNNNNNNNNNNNNNNNNNNNNNNNNNNNNNNNNNNNNNNNNNNNNNNNNNNNNNNNNNNNNNNNNNNNNNNNNNNNNNNNNNNNNNNNNNNNNNNNNNNNNNNNNNNNNNNNNNNNNNNNNNNNNNNNNNNNNNNNNNNNNNNNNNNNNNNNNNNNNNNNNNNNNNNNNNNNNNNNNNNNNNNNNNNNNNNNNNNNNNNNNNNNNNNNNNNNNNNNNNNNNNNNNNNNNNNNNNNNNNNNNNNNNNNNNNNNNNNNNNNNNNNNNNNNNNNNNNNNNNNNNNNNNNNNNNNNNNNNNNNNNNNNNNNNNNNNNNNNNNNNNNNNNNNNNNNNNNNNNNNNNNNNNNNNNNNNNNNNNNNNNNNNNNNNNNNNNNNNNNNNNNNNNNNNNNNNNNNNNNNNNNNNNNNNNNNNNNNNNNNNNNNNNNNNNNNNNNNNNNNNNNNNNNNNNNNNNNNNNNNNNNNNNNNNNNNNNNNNNNNNNNNNNNNNNNNNNNNNNNNNNNNNNNNNNNNNNNNNNNNNNNNNNNNNNNNNNNNNNNNNNNNNNNNNNNNNNNNNNNNNNNNNNNNNNNNNNNNNNNNNNNNNNNNNNNNNNNNUAUUAUUGUGAUAUUAUUGUUAUGUUGCUGCAUUACCUGCUCGUGGUUGAGUUUUAUGCCAUCUGCAUACCUUGGAAUUGAAUGGUGAAUUGGAGGUCGUCCCCUCUAGAUCAGGUUACUUCGGAUUCAGUAUUUGUAGCAUGUAUGUGUAAGAUGCAGUAGUGCUUUACUACUUGCGGAAGGCGUUAGUUGGGGAAUGAUCAGUUAUAUUCUCAGGAGUGAUAGCCCAGAGUUUUUAGUGGAGCAGCUAGCGGUCAGUACUGAAGUGGUUUGGGGAUGUGCACCCCAAACGCAGAUUCUCGGGAUGUAGUCCCUAAAGCAAAUGCAGUUAAGGAUCGAAGGGUGCUCAGUCAGAUAGCAGGAAGGGUGCGGAUCUGGUAAGAGUUAGUUGGGGCGCUGGCAAGGGUAAACGUCGGCGGACAGCAUAUCGCUCUUUUAAUGGAAGGAGGGUUGGAAAUCCUUUCGACCAGUGAGCAGUAAGGAUCUAGCCGAAUCCAAGUGGGGGAGAACCCUCCAAGUAUACAAGGAUAAAGAGCCACGUAGACUCAGAAUGAGUGCACGGCCUCUGAAAUGAUUGUAGCACAGUGAUUGAUGGAAUGAGAAGUUCAGAGUUAGGAGUUCGAGGACCUUCCCAGCAGUUAGUUCAUGUAAUCGGGAUGGUUAGAAGCUAGUUGAGAAUCCAGGAUUGGAGGGCCACCUGUGGGGCUCAAGUGAGUCGGAAUGAGGAUCCUGAGAACGGUUAGCAAGAAAUGUUUUCAUAUUAGUAGCUAGUGUCAGCGUCAGCAUGUAGGAUUGUGUAGAUUCAGGAGUUGGGAGUUUGGAAACUUCCCAACAAUAGCUUCUUGUAGUCGGAUCAGUAGACGGUUGGUUUGGGAACCAAGCCGAAGAGUCCCUCGACGAAGCGCUAAGUAUAUUAAGGAUGUAAGAUGUCGAGGAUGAUGCAGUAUUCAAGGACUAAGGGCUGUUUUUGGGAAAUCAGGAUGAGGAAUCACUCGCGGGACUAGGGAUAGUCAGGAUGUCCUUGGGAUAGUAGUAGUAGUGUUGUAAGUCUGCGGGGGUAGCCGUAGCAUUCACUAGCAGCCAGAUAGUAUUAGAGAGUUGCUAGUCCGCGAGCGUAGUCGCAGCCUUUAUCAGAUUGGUAGGUAGCAUGAGCGCGUGUUGGACGCGAGAAAGCAGUAGUUCCCACCCGUUCGGGUGCAUCAAUGAGGAUAUGGGAAUCCACGGGUUAGAUUUCGGAUUUCCCAAAUGGUUCAGUUAUGGCUAAGUCAGCAAUUUUGGCUAUAGAUCGUCACAUCAUUUAUGAGAUCAGAGUAACAGUGGACCGUUAGGGUUCGGGUAUGUUAAGGGCUACCAUUAGUCUGGGAGCCAUCAUGUUGUUAGUCGUGGAAUUGAUGAUGCCAGGAUGUGANUUGUUGUAGGCGAACUCUGUAAGCCGUAGGUGGGAAUCCCAACUCCCACUGAAAUCAAUGAUGCACGGCCUCAACAUAUCCUCGAGGGUCUGAAUGGUCUGCUCACUCUGCCCAUCAUUAUACGGAUGGAACGCCGUGCUAAAAUGUAGUCGCGUACCCAGUUCCUCAUGGAACUUUUGCCAAAAACGGGAAGUAAACCUGACAUCUCGAUCAGAAACGAUAGAAACUGGAACCCCAUGGCGAGAGACAAUCUCUCUGACGUAUAGGUCGGCCAACUUCUCUGCCGACGAACUCUCCUGUAUGGCUAGGAAAUGGGCACUCUUGCUCAAUUGAUCCACGAUUACCCAUAUAGCAUCGAACCCCCUUGCCGUCUUCGACAAGUUUGUAAUGAAAUCCAUCGCGAUUCGUUCCCAUUUCCACAUGGGAAUCUCCAGAGGCUGCAAUUUGCCAUGCGGCCUCUGAUGCUCGGCCUUGACCAUCCUACAGGUCAAGCACCUCUCAACAAACCAAGCGAUAUCUCUCUUCAUGCCAGGCCACCAAUAACUUGAACUCAAAUCAUGGUACAUCUUGGUGGCUCCCGGGUGAAUAGAAAACCGAGACUUUUAAGCCUCCUCCAUCACUGUCUGUCGGACCCCUCCGGACAUAGGAACCCAAACCUGACCGUAGCGGGUCAACAAUCCGCGGCUAUCCUGAACAAACCGGGCGCUUUCACCCUUAAUAUUCUCCAACUUCCAGUUCUCUGGUCUCAUACUCUCAAUCUGAGCAUACCUAACCAAACCCACCAGCGGGGAAUCCACCGCUAUCCUCAUACACCUGGCUAGCGUUGAGGACCCAGCUGACUUGCGGCUCAGAGCAUCUGCAACCACGUUCGCUUUACCAGGAUGGUAAAGGAUCUUGCAAUCAUAGUCCUUGAGCACAUCCAGCCACCUGCCUCAUGUUCAGGUUCGGCUGAUCCAUGAUGUGUCUCAAACUCUUUUGAUCCAUGUAUAUAGUGCAAAGGACCCCAUACAAAUAAUGCCUCCAAAUCUUGAGAGCGAAGACCACCGCUCCAAACUCAAGAUCGUGUGUGGGGUAUCUCUGUAACACCCCAAAGUUUGGAAAGUCAAGAAAAGAAAGAAGACCUCAAUUUUAAGGGGAGACUCAACGAGUCCAUGGAGGGACUCGGCGAGUCCGAGCGGGAUCCGGGUCGAGGUGUAAGCGACCGACUCGGCGAGUCGGCCAAGGAGACUCGACGAGUUGGGUCUGAACGAGGAAAACCCUAAAUCCGGGACUUGGAGCCUAUUUAAGCGUCUCAUUCUCCUUCCUAGGGUUCCUUUACUGCCUCUCUACCCCAGAACACCAAACCCUAGCCACCAUAUCCGUUUUUGAGCUAGAUCUUGCCUUGAAGAGUGCACUAAAGCUUGGAGAAGGAAGAAAGGCCUUGGAGGUGCAAGAAGGGACUGUAGAUCCGGGAUUGAGAAGUCAUUUCAGACCAAUUGGAGGUAAUAAGCUGUUGCUUGGAAUCCCUUUGCACCUAGAUCUAUUCUCAUGUGUGAGUUUUGGACAUUUUGGCAUGAUAAGUAACCAUUUCGAGUUAGAGGUCCAGAUCUGAGGUUGCUACCUCAGAUCCAUGUUUGUUUUGGUCUAGAAUCCCCUACAGUAUCAGCCCUUGGUAUGUUGAAGAAGUAUGUUGCCAUAAACCCUAGUUUGAAUGAGUUUUAAGCCUAGAUCUCUUGAUCUACACGUAAAGUUUGCCACUUUACGUGGGGGAUAGGCCUUAGAAGUAUGGAUCUAUGAGUUGGAAGCCCUGCUUGGCUCGAAAAGCCACUGCAUGGAUUAAGGACUGAAUAGACUCGGCGAGUCCUUCGAGUGGACUCGGCGAGUAUCUUGAAGAUGAGGAGGAACUCGACGAGUGGGAUGAACAGCUCGUCGAGUCGGAUGAAGUUAGGCAUCAACUCGGCGAGUUGGAAGAACAACUCGACGAGUUGGUUGAAGAUUGCCUUGGACUCGGCGAGUCUAUUAGUGGACUCGGCGAGGCAGGUCGCAAAACCCCAAACCCUUCGAGUUGAGACACGAAUCAGUGAGUCAGGUGGUGACUCAGCGAGUUGGACAGGACAGGACUUGGAACUAGUUGGACUCGGCGAGUCAUAGACUGACUCGGUGAGUCGAGUCGUGGAUAAAAGACCCUGAGUAUAUGAACUCGACGAGUCAGUAGGAGGACUCGGCGAGUAGGGUUAACCUGGAAGGUGGACUUUGAUCAGGAUUUUGACUUUGACCAGAGUUGACUUAGUUGACUGUCAGACUAAGUGUCAUAUUGAUAUUGAUAGCUCAGAGACCUAGAGGAGCAGCAGCUCAGUGGAUUGGCGAGUAGCAGCCAGAGGUUUAUCAGCAGAGCUCAUCAGUUCAGGUGAGUUUCCUUCCAGUAGGAACGGGUCUAAGGCUACAAUGCCGACCCGUUUAGCUAGCAGUAGUAUCCAGAGUUUGAUCCAAUGCAGUAGUUAGCAUGUUUGAUGCCUUCGUGGCUCAGACAGGAUUUAUGUGUUUAUGCUAGUAGAUAUGUUUACGAUAUGUUCAGUCAGCUUCGGACUUCGGUCCGAUGUAGGGGACAGAGGUCCCAGUCAUCCUUGGACUUCGGUCCGAUGUAGUAGUUAGUAUGUUUAAUGCCUUCGUGGCUCAAACAGGAUUUAUGUGUGUAUGCUAGUUGAUAUGUUUAUGCUAUGUUCAGUCAGCUUCGGACUUCGGUCCGAUGUAGGGGGCAAGGUCCCAGUCAGCUUCGGACUUUGGUCCGAUAUAGGGGACAAGGUCCCAGUCAGUUUCGGACAUCGGUCCGAUGUAGGGGGCAAGGUCCCAGUCAGCUUCGGACUUCGGUCCGAUGUAGGGGACAAGGUCCCAGUCAGCUUCGGACUUCGGUCCGAUGUAGGGGACAAGGUCCCAGUCAGCUUCGGACUUCGGUCCGAUGUAGGGGACAAGGUCCCAGUCAGCUUCGGACUUCGGUCCGAUGUAGGGGGCAAGGCCCCAGUUAGUCCGGACUUCGGUCUGAUGCAGUGGGCAAGGCCCAAUAUGUGCUUUAUAUGUUAUUGUGUGGUAUGUGGUAGAUUGGGGGAGCUCACUAAGCUUCGUGCUUACGGUUUCAGUUUUGGUUUCAGGUACUCGGUUUUUAAAAGAGGAGCUCGGAAAGAUUGCAGAGCACACACCAUAGUCAGUUAGCCUGGGGAUGUUUGACUCUGAUAAUAAGAUUAUGUUUUGAAUUAAUACUCGAAAGUUAUGUUUUGACUUAUGAUACGUUUUUAUAAAUCUGGUUUAGUAAUGUUUUUAAAAGAAAUUUUUAGUCGUGAUUUUUGGGUCGUUACAAGUUGAGUCAUGGUUCAAAAACCAAUUACUCAGGUAAGAAACGGCACAACCCAGUUUCAUCUGCUGCUUCAGUUGGACUAGACAAAAACUGGAAAAAUGAAGUCAAAUCUGAUAUUAAUUCUUUAAAUAAAAAUUUUGACUUACUACUCUCUAGUCUAGGAAAAGAGAAAGGUGUGUUUGUUUUCGCAGGGACAGAAGAUAUGUUUAAGCUGUGGAGAUUCAGGACACAUUGCAGAUGAGUGCAUGAGAAGUCAAGAGGAAAUCAGUCAAGUGCAUGGAUAUGGUCAAUUCCAAAAUAGUCCACGAUCAUUCAAUCGGAACUACAACCAAGGCGGGAACUACAACAACAAUGGGAAUUUCAACAACAACAACUGUCAAGGGAAUUACCAAAACCAAAAUCAGCCAAAACAGUUCCAGCAGUCCAACUUUAACCAGGGUGGAAGAUCAAAGAAGGAGGAAGCUGAUGGCAACAAGUUGGACAAAAUCAUGGAGUUCAUAACCAAAACAUAUCAGAAUACCGACACUAACUCCAAGUCAAUAGCUACGAUCGAGAACCAGAUUGCUCAAAUGGCGGAGCAAAUUGGGAAAAGAGAAGAUGGCAAGUUUCCAAGCACUACAACAGUCAACCCAUCUCAUACCCAAAGACCCGGAAAAGAGCAUCAAGUUAAUGAGGUAAUCACAUUGCGUAGUGGGAAAAAGGUUGACAACAAGGUAAGUGCUCCUACUUUAGAUAAUGACAGUGACACUAAGGUCAUUUUUGAUGAAAAAGAAGAGUUUGAGAAAGGUUUCAAAUCUGAAAAACAAAAAGUAGUUAACGGUAAAGAUGACUCUAAAGUUGGGGAGCAUGGUGUGGAGGUUAAUACCGCACCAUACCCUUCGGCUUUAGAGAAACCGGCAUUUUUCCCUUUUGGGAAGUGAGGGCCGAAAAUGGAAGACAUGUGGGAUUUAUUUAGUCAAGUUAAAAUAAAUAUCCCGUUAGUCAAACUUAUUAAGGAGGUACCUUCUUAUGCUAAUUUUUGAAGGAUUUGUAUGUUCAAAAACACAAACUCCAAGCACACCUCCCUAAAAAGAUUGACUUAACCGAGCAUGCGAGUUCUAUAAUAUCAAAUAAACUUCCACCCAAGCUUAAGGAUCCCGGGGCACCUUUAAUUUCUGUUACCCUAGGUAAUAUUAAUAUCAAAAAGGCGCUCCUUGAUCUUGGAGCUAGUGUUAAUAUAAUCCCAGGAAAUCUUUUUGAUCAACAUGACUUACGAACUUUGGAACAAACUGAUAUUAUUUUGUGGUUGGCCGAUAAGUCAACCAAAAUUCCCCGAGGUAUAUUAUCAGAUGUCAUCAUUAAGGUGGAAUAUUUGUAUUACCCAGUUGAUUUUCUUGUUCUUGACACUGAAAGCACCUAUAAAGAAAGUCAACCUUCUAUUAUUUUGGGUCGCCCGUUUUUGGCAACAAUAAAUGCAUAAAUUAAUUUUAGAACGGGUGCCAUGGAUAUCUCUUUUGGAAAUAGGAAACUUAGAAUUAAUAUUUUUAAUACAUUUCCUAACUCACCAUUAGAUUAUGAAUGUUAUCGUGUAGAUGUGGUUGAUGACUUUGUGCAUCAAUUCACUCCUAAAAUCUUACACCCCGAUCCGUUGGAGUUUUUUCUUUAUAAUGACAGGGAUGAAGUUUUAGAGUUGGAUGACAUCAAGAUGGUUGAGGAGGCAUUUGAAAAUGCUAUUGAGCAAGAGAGGCCACCAUGGAGUUAUCAAUUUGAAAAAUUGCAACCAAGUUUUUCGGACCCACUUAAGCCAUCUUUGGAGGAGCCACCCACUCUUGAACUUAAAACUCUUCCUUCACAUCUUAAAUACUCUUUUUUAGGAUCUAAUGAGAACUUACUAAUUAUCAUAUCUUCUGAUUUGACAGGUCCACAGGAGGAAGCAUUACUGAAGGUGCUUUCCAAGUACAAGGGAGCAAUUUGGUGGACCAUAGCAGACUUGAAAGGAAUUAAUCCAGCCACAUGUAUGCAUCGAAUCAUCACUGAAGCUGGAGCAAAGCCAUCCCGAGAUGCACAACGAAGGCUCAACCCAAAUCUGCGAGAAGUUGUUAAAAAGGAGGUGCUGAAAUGGCUUGAUGCGGGUAUUAUCUACCCAAUAUCUGAUAGUGAUUGGGUGAGCCCGACACAGACAGUGCCAAAGAAGUCGGGCAUUACAGUGGUAGAUACAGAAGAUGAAGAGAAGAUCUCAACAAGACCGGUCACCGGAUGGAGAGUUUGCAUCGACUAUCGCAAACUCAAUGAUGCAACAUCAAAGGACCAUUUUCCUCUCCCUUUUAUUGAUCAAAUAAUUGAGAAAUUUUCCGGUAAAAAGUUUUAUUGUUUUUUGGAUGGACACUCGGGGUAUAAUCAAAUUGCCAUCUACCCCGAGGAUCAAUCCAAAACCACAUUCACGUGUCCCUAUGGCACCUUUGCUUUCCGAAGGAUGCCAUUCAGCUUGUGUAAUGCCCCCGCCACAUUCCAAAGAUGUAUGAUGGCUAUUUUUUCCGACAUCGUGGGAAAUGCAUUAGAAAUUUUCAUGGAUGAUUUUUCUAUUUUUGGAUAAUCUUUUGAGACAUGUUUAGACCAAUUAGAAAAAGUUUUGAAACAUUUUAUUGAGUCUAAUUUGGUUUUAAGUUGGGAGAAGAGUCAUUUUACGGUAAAAGAGGGAAUUGUACUUGGCCAUGUUGUCUCCGAGCGUGGUUUUGAAGUCGACCGGGCCAAAGUACAAAUUAUUUCUACUCUUCCCCCACCAACUUCGGUAAAAGGCGUCCGUUCUUUUCAUGGACAUGCUGGAUUUUAUCGAAGAUUUAUCAUGGAUUUUAGUGCAAUCUCAAAACCUCUUUGUAAUUUACUUUUAAAAGACGCACCAUUUUCCUUUGAUAAAACAUGUCUUGAAUCUUUUACCACAUUAAUGAACAAACUUGUUGAAGCCCCUAUCUUGCAAUCACCCGAUUGGACUUUACCUUUCGAAAUUAUUUAUGAUGCGAGUGAUUACGCGGUAGGGGCAGUUUUGGGACAACGGGUGAAUAAAAAACCCGUUGCAAUUUGUUAUGCGAGCAAAACUUUUUCGGAUGCACAAUUGAAUUAACCUACCACUGAAAAAGAGUUGCUUGCGGUCGUGUUUGCACUUGAAAAAUUUAGAUCUUACAUAUGGGGAUCUAAAUUUGUAAUUUUUACCGACCAUAGUGCCAUUCGCCACCUCUUGCAAAAGAAGGAUGCUAAACAACGUCUCAUAAGAUGGAUCCUUCUUCUUCAAGAGUUUGAUCUUGAAAUUCGGGACAAAAAGGGUUCCGAAAAUGUUGUGGCGGAUCAUUUAUCUAGAAUAACUAAUAAUGAUAACUCAACGGAAGUUAUUCAAGAAAACUUUCCGGAUGAGAAUAUUCUUGUUGUCAAAACUAUACCAUGGUUUGCUAAUUUAAUGAAUUACUUUGUGACAGGGGAAACUCCAUCGUAUUGGAAUGAUCAACAAAGGAGGUUCUUCCACUCUCAAACAAAAUACUACAUAUGGGAGGACCCGGAUCUUUUCAAAAUUGGAGCGGAUCAAGUGAUUAGGAGAUGUGUACCACAUACGGAGCAAGAAGACAUUCUUCGAAACUAUCAUUCAUAUGCAUGUGGGGGACAUUUUAGUGCCAAAAAGACAGGGCACCGAGUUAUACAAAGUGGUUUUUUCUGGCCUUCUAUUUUUAAAGAUGCACAUACAUUCGUUAAAGCUUGUAUUCGUUGCCAACAAGUUGGGGGGAUCUCACGACGGGACAUGAUGCCAAUGACCCCAAUUUUAGUAGUUGAAAUUUUUAAUGUAUGGGGCAUUGAUUUUAUGGGCCCAUUCCCCAUGUCUUUUGGCAAUAUAUACAUUCUUGUAGCCGUUGAUUAUGUAUCAAAAUGGGUUGAAGCCGAGGCUACACGUACGAAUGACCAGAGUGUUGUUUGUAAAUUUGUUAAAAAGAACAUCUUUUCUACGCAUGGAAUCCCUCGAACGAUUAUUUGUGACGGGGGUUCCCAUUUUAAAAAUUGGGAUUUUGCAAAGUUGUUAAAACAUUAUGGUGUCGCUCAUAGGAUUGCUACUCCAUAUCACCCACAAACAAGUGGGCAAUUAGAGGUGUCAAAUAGGGAAAUAAAACGCAUCUUGGAAAAGACUGUUCAUCCCGACUGAAAAGAUUGGUCUCUAAGAUUAGAUGAUGCAUUAUGGGCAUAUCGAACAGCCUAUAAGACGCCCAUUGGAAUGUCCCCGUAUCGGCUUGUUUAUGGGAAGCCAUGCCAUCUCCCGGUGGAGUUGGAACACCGUGCCAUGUGGGCCAUAAAAAAUGCUAAUUUUGACUUGAGUGAUGCAGGUACGGAAAGAAAACUCCAACUUGUUGAAUUGGAAGAAAUUCAAAAGGAAGCUUACGAAAGCUCAAAAAUCUAUAAAGAAAAGACGAAAGCAUUUCACGAUCGACACAUUGUCCGGAAACAAUUCUUUGAAGGACAAUUGGUGUGGCUAUUUAACUCUCGUCUAAAACUCUUCCCCGGAAAGCUUCGGAGUAAAUGGAGUGGACCAUUUGUGGUGACAAAUGUGGUGGAUCACGGUGCCAUUGAAAUCAAGGACACGAAAGGUGGUGAAUCAUUCAAGGUAAACGGACAAAGACUCAAACCAUACAUUCGAAUGGUAGAUGGUGAAACGACACUCGUUGAGAAAACAACGCUCGAGGUACCUCAAUAUCCAGAUGCAACUUAGUCGAGGUAAACCAUCCGGCUGAAGACGUAAAACUUAGCGCUUUUUGGGAGGCAACCCGCGGUUUGGUGUGUUUUUACUUUUAUUUUUCGUUUUGUGUGUUUUAAUUUUUUGUAUCGAGGACGAUCCAAGGUUUAAAGUUGGGGAGGGGGUAUUUGANNNNNNNNNNNNNNNNNNNNNNNNNNNNNNNNNNNNNNNNNNNNNNNNNNAUAUAUAUAAUAACAAUAAUAAUAAUAAUAAUAAUAAACCCUUAGGCGUCCUAGGAGACGUCUUAAACGCCGUCGGGCAGUCAAUUUUUUUCCCCGAUGAAAAUCCUUUUGCGAAAUUACAAAAAUGCCCCUGUUUGUGAGAGACGUCUUAGGACACGUCUAAGACGCCAACGCGUUUUUGGCUGUUAUUGAUGCGUUUCAGAGCUAUUUCCUGCACCUUCUUCCUCCACUUCUUUUUCUAAACUGUCAUGGCCGAGAAUAGCUUCUAAAAAACCAAUUUUUCUUCAUUUCUUCAUCAAAUCUCAACCAAAACUCUUGAUUUUUGUUGCAUUCUUCAAGAAAUCAAGUAAGAAACAUCACAUUGCAAGAUUUACACACUCUAAUCACUUAUUUGGGGCCGAUUUCAAAACCCACAAAAACUAGGGUUUCGAAAUUUCGACUUAUUUUGGGUUUUUGCUUCAAGUUCUUGGUUCUUCUUCACUAGAAACACAUUUUCAACAAGGUAUGUGCUUCAAAACUCCAUCCUUUAGUUGAAUUUCGAAAUUUUUUUCAUGUAUGUUCCAAACAUGUUGCAUGUGUCAUCUGUGAAGUUUUCUGGAAAUUGAAUUUUUUGUUAACUAAAAAAAAGGCAUAUAAUUUUGGAAAAUCAUUGUUAUGUUUACAUUUGUGCUUAGAUUAAAAUUCAAGUUUUUAGGAAAUUUUUGGAAUGACAUUGAAUUUUGACACUGUAUUAUUAGUUUGAAUAUUUACUUGUUAUAGUUCUGUUUUGGUUUCAGUUAGAACUUGUCAGUUGCAGUUAAACUUGGGUUUAUCUGUGUUUUACUGAUUGAAUAAAUUUUUGAAAAAUAUUUAGUUACUGAAAACAUAACAGGACUUUAGACUGAAUUUAUUUUAACUUUGUUUGGAACAACUUAGCAACUGGAUUAUUGUUUUAUUUUUGUGACAUUUGAUAUGUUUAAUGGCAAGUUUUUUUUUGUGGUUUUGUGUGUGGUUGAUUUUGCAGAUGCCAGCAUAGAGAUCAAGGGUAGCAUCAUCAAGCAGUACAGCCAGACAACCAGCUAGACAGCCGGAGCCGAAUGUACCCGUGGCUUUUGACCCACAGUACCAGACAUUGCAUGAGCAUCCAGACGACAUUCGACCAGCAGUUUAUGAGGCGACUCAUCCGAUUAUGGGUUUUAUUGUUGAGUACAUGGUGGAGCGACCGAGCUUCACUGGGUACAAUAUUGUGGAGGCGUUUGAUCGCUAUGGAUGGGGUGGAGCGUUGGACUUCAAUCCCAUGCAUAUUUAUGUUGAUAUAGUGCGGGAAUGGAUGAGGACACUUCGACGUGUCGAGGUGCCUGGUAGGCCGGAGGAGUUGCAGCUGAUUGGGACGGUUCGUACACAUGAUAUAGUGAUAACUGUGCAGGGUAUUCGGGACAUGUUUCAUGUAGAUACUGGCUAUCAUCUACAUGAUCUUGAGAAUCAGCUGACUGAGUAUAGAUGUAUUGACACGAGGGGGGGUAACUCUGGGGUUAGCAUGACAGAAGUAUACCGUACAGUAUUCCGUGAGGGGACGAGGGUAUAUGACAGAUUUCACGAAUUGGUACCCUUAGCAAAGGCAUUGCAUAACAUUAUCACGGGAAAUGUGAACCCGAGGAAUAGUGAUCCCAGGACGGUGAGGACACAUGAUUUAUAUGUGUUAUAUGGAUUGAUGACAGGAUCCAUAUUUAUUUCUUAUGCAUAUAAUGCUAUGUGCAAUAUAUGGUCCUGUUUUGAUAUCCAGCACAGAGUCACCACCCCUCAUGUCGCCCUGAUAUCGACAUAUGUGACUAGGGAGCUGGGGAAUAGGAUUAGGGUCCCAUGAGUUACAUCAUACCCGCGUACCCUUCUCCCUACUGCUACUUCUUUCAGACAUAUCUCAUUUCAUGUUGAAAAUGGGAGACAUAUUCUGAGGGAUUCUGCCACAAACCUGACAUACACGGCACCACUUGGAGUGGGGGAUGAGGAGCCAUUCGUUGGCGAUUUUCAGGAGGAUCAUCAGCAGCAACAAGGACAAGCAGCAGGUCAGGGAUGGAACAUGCAGGCAGCUCGGGAGGACUUUGUGGGGAGACAAAACACGCAUAACCAGGAAGUGAAGGCUUGGAUGGGGAGAACAGAUAUAUGGAUGGACGGUGUCAACAUGACACUAGCUGACCUUACUGAGCAGAUGCGACAGGUUGGCAUUACAGCUAGCAACACUUAUAGUGUUGCCACUCGUCAGCUGUACCAGCAGGAGUACUAUGAAGAUGCCGCCUACAGACAGAGUCGUGUCCAGUAUGAACCGAUGGACAUUGAUCAGCCACAGUAUCGAUACCGAGCUCCAGCUCCGGUCUUCUACCAUUCUGGGGAUUCGAGCAAUUAUCCAUCGCCAUCCGAGUAUGAGCAUUAUCAGUCACCACCAGCUACAGAGGACUCUACUCGCUUUGAGGAUUUAGCUAGAUCGAUCUUUGGGUAUCCUCCACCGUACCCACGAUAUCCUCCAUAGCCGCCCCCGCAGUGAACUUUGGUGAGAUCCUCUUUUGAUUUUGAUUUUUAUGGUUAUGUGAUGAAGAAUUUUUCUUUUUAUUUUCAUUUUUAUUUUGAUUUUCAUGUCUUUAUUUGGGAUGAAUGUACUGCUAUUAAACUCAUUAUUAUUAUUAUUAUUAUUAUUAUUAUUAUUAUUAUUAUUAUUAUUAUUAUUAUUCUCUCUUGGGUUGGUUCCAUGAAAUACAUGAUGAGUUAGUAGCAUCUCUAUAUCUUGAAUGUAACACAUCAAGAUGGAAAAUGAUAGGAGUUUCAUACAUCGAGUCAUAAUAUCUAUUUAAUAUUGAUUUUGUGGGUUUCUCAGCCGUUUUGGAAAUAUUUGUAUUUAUAAAAAAAAUGUUAUGUGAAAUACCCAAGUGUUUGAAAAAUGAAGGUUUUUGGCUCGAGCCUACGAUCUUUCAAUUGAGGACCCAACUGAACAAUAUGUGUCAUCAUGCUUUGAGUACUUGGUCUUACUUACUCCUGUGCCUUUGGGGUUUGGAGGGGUCUAUUAUUGUUUUCACACAACCAAAAAGCAUCAUAAGACAUUGAAGAACUUCAAAGUAUAUAUAAUCAAGCUAAAGUCAAAUACAAAGAUGAUCAAAUCCGAUGAAGCAUCAAAGAACUUGAAGAAUGCACAAUCAAGACAAAUAUGAAGAAAAGUUCAAGUUGAAGAUAUUGUGUGAAACAAUAUGUGACCCCUCAAUAGCGGGAGUGUAUGGGUUGGUCCAUUAAGUGUUACCGACCGCGCUAACUAUGUUAGUGAACCUUGAAAAGGGGACUUUGGCAAUGAGUUCAACUAAUUACUCAUGAGGUUGAUUAUUGGAAAGGGUUCAAAAAGUGAAGAGUUUCAAACAACAAAGUAAAAUAAGCAUAACAUGUGUUUUGAGUUUAAAAGUCCGCAUAUGAAACUAAUAAUCCCCAAAAUCAAUAUAUUGUGCUUAUUAAAAUAUUGUGAUAAAAUGUAAGGAAUUUGUGGUUCCAUUGAGUUUUUCUUAGGAUAAGAGAGUAAGACUACACUGAUUAUUUCAGGCCAAUCUCGGGACGAGUUUGGAAUAAAGUUGGGGAGGUUUAAUAAGUCCAUUUUAUGAAUGUACUAAAUUGUCAUAAAUCUGUUGAAUUGAUGUAUAAUUGUCCAAGAAUGGCACUACUUUGAUGAGUUGUUGAACUUCAUAUGCAGGUCAAUAUAUUGUACUAAAAGUGGGUGGAACCUGCAAGUAAAACGGAUUGCUAAAGGAAUGAUGAAACGUUGCUGGGAAAAUUUACCAUGUUUCAAUGUUUUGAUAAUACCUCAAGUUCUGUAGCUUCGAUUGACAUGAGUAAAGAAGUUCUGGAAACUAGACAAGAUUUUCUACAACUUUUGUGUUUUGUGUUUCUGCUAGUUAUGUCGUUUUGACCACUAAAACUUGCACGGAAGAUGAAGGACGCCUCCAGGCAUCUAAGACGUGCCCUAGGACGUCCAGGUCAAACGGUCAGCAUUGGAUCGUUAUUUUAGAGCAGAAAAGAAGGGAGAGCCCCGUUGGCGUCUUACAUGGCGUCUAAGAUGUCCCCUAGGACGUCUUGGCAUUUUAGGGACGUCCCGUGUUGGAACGGUGUGUUUCGGAAAGUUUGGAAAUCAAGGAAGGGCUUCCUAGAAGGUGUCUAAGACCUCUCCUAAGACGUUUGACGUUUUUGGCCAUUUUUUAGUGUAUUUCAAGGACGGCAGAGGCAUGUUAGGACGUACAAAGAACGUUGGGGCAUUACACACGACGUCUAAGACGUCUCCUAGGAUGUCCAACGUCCCACAUCGCCUAGUUUCACUCUUUUCUGUCAAAUAAUAUAAAUAGGGACUUGUGCAUUCGUUUUUAGGGUUACCACCUGCGAUUUUCAGAGUUUUUCCUACGUGUUUAAGGCUUCUAAAACCCUUGAAAACAUUUGGAAACAGAAGUCCAUUCCAUUUCAAUCCGGAUUCAAGGCAAGAUUCGAUUCAAUUCAUCAUCAAGCUAUAAGUGAAGAUCGUUUCAUUGGUUAAUCUUCAUCAAUUCUUUAUUUUCCAGAAUUAUUUCUUCUUCCCCAAGGUUUAUUUGUUCUAUACUUUGAUAAUCAUUAGGCUACAUUUGUUUGAUGAUUCUAUGUCUGUUUAUGAAUUCUAUUAUGCAUUUUAUUCAUUUUAAUCAAGUUAUUUGUUUUAUGAACUCAAUGGAAGGCUAAACCAUUAGGGUUACUUCCAGGGAUGUUUAUGACUUUUGGAUGACCACACUUCAUUAUUACUUGAUUCUAAUUAAUUUCAAUUGUUAUUUUAUGCUUCAUAUGAUGAUCUUUGGUAAUGAUAAGUGAAAUUGGGUUGUAGGAAUUGUUUGAUGUCAUAAUUAAGAUAGUCUAUUGUCAAAUUCAUCAUUUGUUCCAAGUUCAAUUAGUUUAGAAAUAAAGACAAGUGAUUGAAUCAACAUAUAUUAUUCCAACUUAUCAUAUUGAAUGUUAAUGCGUUAAUAGGUAGUUGUAAGACAUUUUAUUGCUAGUUCACUAAUUGUCCCUAAUCCAUUUAGACAUAAAUGAGUAAGACAACUAGUUGAAUGAACAUCUAGUAUACCCAAAACUACGUGUUACAAGUUAAUAAACCCCAAUUGCAUCUGUGUAAUUGAAUUAGGAUCCUAGGGAAGAAAGUGUGUGAAUCUAAAUUGUCCAUAACUGAACCGGGAGUACUCUAGUUUUCUCAUUGAGAUUUUUAUUUUUAAUUAAUAAAUUUCCAAGCUUUUGUUUGAAUUUUAUUUUAAACUUUUUUGUGACAAUUGAUAGUAAUACUUUUCUUUUUAUUGACUGCUUUGACACAAAGUUUAACCACGAACUCCUUGUGGAUUCGACCCGACUUACCAUAUCUACUUAGGUUAGUUGGUUUAUUUUUGAUUGAGACAACGACCUCGAUCAUAAUACAAAAGAUUUAUGUUUUUCACACGAUGAUAACCGUGUGUUUACUUGUANCCCCCCCCCUUAAAGUGUAUAAAAUGCAUUUAUAAAACAUUUGAAACUAUAGUUAUAAGGGUAUGAACUCACUUGAUAGAUUGAAGAAGGUGAGACGAAAGUUGAGCAGAACUUCGACUGGAAAGAAGUCGAUUUCUCGGAAAUCUCGGGAGUUCGGGACUUGCGUCUUGUGUUGGAGAUGUUACCGGGGCUUUGGGGUAGUUUAGAGGAGCUUAAUAGGGUGUAGAAGUAGGAGAAAUGAUAGAAAUGAACAACCAAAGCCGGCUGCCCUCGAUUCCUAUUUAUAGGGUGAAUUUUGGGUCUCACGUCGUGAGUUUUUCAUAACUCACGUCGUGAGUCAGCUCCGAUUCGCUCAUGGCAUGCAUCACACGUCAAGUGGCUCUGGAAGGGUCAUUCAAGGGGCUCACGUCGCGAGUUUUACAAAACUCACGUCGUGAGUUCUGACACAGAGUUGGGAUUAGUGCCCUGAACUUCAGAAACUCAUAACUUUCGCAUCCAAGCUCCGUUUUCGACGUUCUUUAUAUGCACGCGUAGGUGAGAUUAUGCUCUACAACUCUCGUUUAGACUCCCUUGGCUAAUUUUGACUUUAUUUUUAAUAUAUUAUUAAUAUAUUAUCUUUAUAUUAUUUUUAGUAGUUCGGGACAUGAAAACUCCGUCAGAAAUCCAUAACUUCUUCAUCUGACGUCCGUUUUCGUCAUACUUUUUACCGUUGUGCUACUAUUUUUUAGACCUUAGAUUCUUAUUUAGUUUGUGUCGGCUAAAAACUCUCGAUUUCUAUUUCGAGUUUUUAGCUAUCUACUGCUAUAUCCGUAACUUAGAAAAAUCAUAAUUUCCUCAUACGAAGUUAGAUUUGGACGUUCUUUUUACGUACAUUUAUGGUUUAAUGAUAUCUACAACUUUCAUUAAGAUACUUAAAGCUAAAAACUAUUGUAUCGAAACUUCGUGUUCUUACGUCUAUCCGUAUUGUCGGUUUUGUCGGGAAUCUUAGAAUGGUUAUAACUUCUUCGUUAUAACUCGGAUUUUAGUGUUCUUUAUAUGUACGAAAACCUUGAUACGAUUCCUACCAAUUAAUUUUACCCAAAUAAGAUUUUAGGAAAGUUAAAUUUUUACCUAAGUUUGACUAGUGUUAUAUUAUAUUGUCUCGAAAUAUCGGGUUGUCACAUCAUCCCCCCGUUAGAGGGAAUUUCGUCCCGAAAUUAGAGUUUAAGCAGAAUUGAAAACUUUGCUACAGAUAGAAGUUUCAUUUGAUGCUCGCAUUCCCAGGUGAACUCAGGUCCACGCUUGGCAUUCCAGCGAACCUUUCACUUUCAGGAUACGGCUUUGCUUCUUUCGUUUGACUUCACUGGUAUGAUAACUCAUCUUGGUCGAAUGUAUAUUGAGUGUUUUUGUGGUCUGUGAAAAUAUUACACCUUGUACCCUACAAGUAGUGUCUCCAGAUCUUCAGAGAAAUUACCAUUGCUCCUGACUCAAGAUCAUGUGUUGUAUAGUUAACUUCCUACAUCUUAAGCUGUCUUGAGGUAUAGGCAGUGACCUUUCCUCUUGCAUAAGAACACAACCAAGCCGUUGGUUGGAUGCAUCACAUUACUCCAUGAAAUCUUCUAUACCCUUUGGGAGGGAUAAUAUCGGUGCGGUGCACCAGGCUUACUUUAGAGUUUGGAAUGCUCUUUCUUGUUUACAUACAAGUCUGGUGCUCCCCAAGGUGAGAAGCUUGGCCUAAAGAAUCCCCUUCUGAGGAGUUCGUUAAGUUGUCCGGACGGUUCUUGUAUCUCUGUAGGCGUUAGACUAUAGGGCGAUAUGGUUACAGGAAUAUCCUUUGAUUGGAUUAUAAGUUUGUUCGCAUGACGAUACGAUUACUCGUAGUCUUGGGCAGUCUCUGUCCUAAAGUUCAUAUUAGAAGUCAUACAUGGUUUAUCAAUCACAGUCUUGUGUAUACGAGUCGUAUAUAAUUAAGCUCGAAAAGGUAGUCGAAUAAAUGAUUCUUCUCUAAGCUCACAUCCCAACAAGGAAAAGAAGUUAAAGUGGAAUCAUCAAUUCUAAACCUGUAGAACCUUGAUUAUAUACCACCCUUAUGUAUAUAUUCUUCAGUGAUAGAUCAACCGUAAGGGUCCUUGGCUUGAACUUGACAUACUGUACGAGUGGUACUUCGGGGAGGUUUGCUAAUUUUUCUUCGGAAAGGAUAAGAAACAUGAGGUACUCUAUGCAUGAGUACUUCGGAGUUCAAGAAUGACGGCUUCGCUAGAAAGGCGAUUUCGGAGAAAGAGAUGUGUGCACGAUACUGAUAUUGUGAGGAUUGAAUUGUAUCGAGUUGAAAGAUAAUAUCGGACUCACUUAGAAGUAAAGAAAUUAGAUUUGAACAUAAAGGCGUUAUAGACAAAACACUAUAGUGCAAGUUUUAACAGAGUUACAGUACUUUAGAUUAACUACAAGACUAUUGUUGCGAACAAGGUAUACUACAAAAGGCAAGUAUACGCAGCACGAGGGUCCCUUUACUGAUGGGAUCUUGCAAAAGAUAAGGCUCUAGUUGCACUAGUUUUAAACAUGUUUAAAAGCAUACUCAAUACUGACGAUUGGAAGUGAACCCAUAUGAUAGUAGGGUCCUUCCUUUCCUUUUUCCAUUCUGAGGUCAAACUCCUCCUGUUCCACCGUCAUUCUUCUCUGUUGGGUAGUCCCUGUUGAAGUGUCCCAUUACGCCACAUAGAUGGCAUAUACGAGAAAUUUCGAAGUUGCUGGUUGAAGUAAUGUGUUGGAUCCGAGUCUUGCAGUAACGGAUGGGGUGUCCCUUUUUUUUUGCAGUUUAAGCACUGCAUUUUCCGACAAGGUCCAUGAUGGUGAUAGUUGCAUUUGUUGCACUUUGGGAGAUUGCCAGCAUACUGUCUGGAUGGAUUAGGGAUAAUUGGGAUACUAGAAGGGAUGGUAGUAGGAGGUACAGAAGUCGUGGCCGCGAAGGCUGCCACAGCUUGUUGUCUUUUGCUCGCCCCUUGGGGUGAUUUGCCUUCAACUUUAGCCAAGAACUUUCGUUUGCUAUUCUUGGGCUUGAGAAUCGAGGUGUCGUGGUAGUUUGUUACUCGCUGAGGUACUUGAUUGUUACUUGGAUUGGAAUUAUUGCUAACAAUCCCGCUAACAUUUGCAUUGUUAGCGUUAAGGUGAGUCAGAACAGCCGUCACGGCAGUUGAAACUGCAGCUUGAAAGGUAGUUGCAUCAAUCUGAAGAGUUGGUGUUUGGUUAAUGGGUUGAUCACUUUUCUUCGGCGACAUGAUUCUAUUACAAAGAAAGAAAAUGAAUUCUUGAGGGAGUACGGUUGAACCUAGAUGUAUUUCGAUCGAUCAUGUAAAGAGUAGAAGUAUGUUCUCGUGGGUUUGACCUACAUCCCUAUGAUGUAGUCCUAGUAUAGAGUAGAAGUAAGUUCAUAGAAUGGUCACAAGAUGUUUGUCGUCCAAAACGGGGUACCAUUGGUUGGUGAAUAACAUGAUCCAACCUUUGAAACAUAAUUGGGAAUGAUCCUAGAGCUAAAUUACCCUAGUCCAAUAACUUGACUAGAGUGGGUUUCAGAUAGACUCCAACGAUAGUAUAAUGAAAGUAUUUGAACAAAGAGUGACAUAGAAGUUAGUCGACUGUCAAUAUCAAUGAUAUUCAUGAUGUAAUAAGUUUGGUAACAAUUGACCUUGUAGAAGGUCUUACAUCAUAUAUGGAGUAGAAAAGUCUUUGACAGCAUAAGGCCUAACUAAAAGUACUUACAGUAUAAGGUAGUCACAUAGAAAAGUGCUACACAGAACAUAGACCGGAACACUAUUCUUUAAAACAACGAAGGAAAGUAAAGCAUCUCCUACUGGUGACGGUCACCCCUAUGGUGAACCCUUAGCUCAGCUAGUUGACGUUUCAUAUCAAGUAGGUAUCUUUCGUACACCCUCUGGCGUACUCGGAGCUCUAUGACUUCGACUCUAGUUGCAGCUAGUGCUUGUAGCAGGGUCUCAUGGUCUCUCUCAUAUCUCUUACGAGCAUUCUCAAGGUGAUUGGUGGGGAUGGUAUGCAUUCCUGCAUUGGCAUCAACUUCUGCAAUACGAUGGAGAGUUUUCCUGCCCUGAAUCUCGUUUCGGGCAACUCUACGGACCAGGAUUGGCAGAACUCUGUCUGCUGAGCUUCUUUCUCUUAAGUUGUGGAAGCUUCGGUCUCCAUUAAACGAAAUAGGUUGAUCUUGCUCUUCACUCCAUGUUUCCAAGAAUUCUACCCAAGGAAGCGUCGGGCCAUGAAAAGCGGGACGAGGGUUAGGAUUUAGAAAUGGAGCUACCGGGGGUAGGUUCUCAACCUCGGGUUCGGAGUUAUCAACAUCCGAAAGGUUUUCAGCAUGGUGAUCAUUCAAAGGGAUUGGAUGAUCAUUCUCGGGUUCUUCUUCAAACCAUCCAACAUUGCCUUCGUUCGGAAGGUACGCGUUGUCGUGGGGAUGGAGUCCAGCCAUGUUAUCUACGUGAGAAUUAGGGUAGAAAAUAAUUAUUAGAUGAACUAUCUAGAUAAUUAUUAGAUAAUCUUCAUUAGUUACAUCACUAUUUGUAAAGUGCAUACCAGUUAUAUGUAAUCAAAACAGGAUAGGCCUUCGAAUAAGUGACCUUAACUCCAAAUUCACAAGGAAUAGGGGUAAAGAAAAAAUUUCACAGAUUCUAAGUCUAUGACAUCCUAGUUACAUAUAACCUUAGUGUAUCCACUUAGCAACUAUCAACUUAGUAAUGAAGAUCCUUUUUAGUUCUCAAGUAAGUAAUUAUAGUAACACAAAAUACUCCUAUAGUAUUUUAGACUUAUGUUAUGUUAUAAUGUUCUCAUUGUGGUAGUGUUGGUAAGUUUUUAGACUUGUUGACACAUCACAACCAUUCUAGGGCAUGUGCUAAUCACUCCUCAGACCAACAUAGUUGAUCAGGCUAUGCCACUCCCAAGACUGACUAUACAUUCCCGAGCUUACCUGUGAUGUCAACAAUCGUAAUACUUUUGUUCUUCUCUUUGUGACACGGAUUUUAGUAUAAAUGCAGGCACGUAUACUUAGUUAAAUCUUUUAUUAUUUAAAUGUAUAAACCCUUGGUCAGAGUAUUUUAAUCCCAAUGUGUUUAUAGUUCGUAUAUCUUUUAUGGGUUGAUACACUCAAUUCACUAUAAACAAUGCUCUGAUACCAUUCUGUCACACCCCCAAACCGGAACGGCGGAAUCGUUCGAGGGUGGAUGACUUCAUGUACAGUAUCAUAACAAUGCAAAGUAGUAAACAAGCAACAACAUCGUCCAUUGCAUUAAUAGUAAUAUUUUAAUACAUGUGUUUUCUUUCAUAGUAAUAAGACAUUACAACAAGUAAUCAAAAUAAAAGACGAGUCUUGACUGCUCCGUCUUCGCAAAACCUAGUCAUCGUACCUAGCUACUGGUGACCUGAGAAUACAAGUUAUUUUGAAAGUGUAGGUCAACAUUUAAUCUGGUGAGUUCAUAAGUAUUUAAUGUCAUUGUUUGUAUAAGUAUGAUGAAAACGUUUGAAAUUGUUCAAUGUAAUUGUUUGUAUAUGUUUUGAAAACUCCUAGAAAAUCCCAUAUUUUCUACUUGUAUAAAAGUAGCCUUUUAUCGAGGCCUGACUGUUUUUGAAUAUUUGUUUCUAAAAGUCCAACAUUUAUCCAUAAGUGCGUGGUAGUUUAAAAGUUCCAAAACUAUAACACAAUGAUGUUUUUCAUGCCUAAAUAAUAGAUUUAUGUAUGUAUAAAAUCGCCAAGGCACUUGAUGACUCUAUAAACCAAUAUAUUUUUAAUAUUGCCUAUGAGUCUUUUGUUUAAGUAAAACUGGUUGAAAGGGUGUUUAUCCCGAAUUGUGAGCAUGCUAAUAAUAUCCCAUGGUAUAGUUAUUACCCCCUGAGCAUGAUUGAGUUAAAUGUAUAUUACUAUGUACAAGAGUUUUUGUUUCCGCGGUUUGUAAGUUUCUCAUAACCAUACUAGACGUAGUUCUAAUGUCGACAUUUGUCACCCUAGACCUAUCGGUCUAACGCGAGCUUACAGUUUAGGUGCAGGUUCGUCAAACCCAUAUAGAUCUAUACACAAAUUCGCGCUCUUCCUCUAGGAGACUCUGGUUAAAGAUGGCGACUUUCGUUUUGGUACUAACAAAGCCAUAUGUCUCACAUGAUUGCUAACAAUAAGUUCACGAGUAAUAUGAUGAAAUACCUUUUGUAUGAAAAGAUUAUCCUUGUUAUGAAGAAUGCAUACUUGUAAAUAAAACGUUGGUAUAGUCAGAUCCGUAAGUGUUCUUAUACUAUAGUAUUUUAGUAUGUUCUCUUUGUCAUAGUAUAUUAGUAUGUUCUUUUGUCAUAGUGUUCUAUGUUAUAGUAUUUGUAUACGAUAGUAUUCUCCUAAACUAUACCUAUUAUAGUUUACUAGUAGGUUCCGCUAUAGUAUUUGAAGAAAUGAAUGUACACCUUUGCUACUCAAAGGUAUUAAACUGAUUGAAUAGUACUUUUAUAUCAACAUAUGUAUACAUAAUAUAUAAGUUUAAAAGGAAAUUUCGUAACAUAUUUGAAUGAGUCUAAUAAUAAAUACUGAUGACUUGAUGUCAGUGUAUACAACGAUUUAAAAAGUAGUUUGUUUGAUAAGAUAGUGUAAAGUAAAAGAAAUCCCUUGUUCGAAAACACAGUAAUAAAUCGCAUGUGAUUGAUUAUAUAACAAAGAGUAAUACAAAAGAUUUAUGUUUUUCACACGAUGAUAACCGUGUGUUUACUUGUAUUCCCCCCCUUAAAGUGUAUAAAAUGCAUUUAUAAAACAUUUGAAAGUAUGGUUAUAGGGGUAUGAACUCACUUGAUAGAUUGAAGAAGGUGAGACGAAAGUCGAGCAGAACUUCGACUGGAAAGAAGUCGAUUUCUCGGAAAUCUCGGGACUUCGGGACUUGCGUCUUGUGUUGGAGGUGUUACCGGGGCUUCGGGAUAGUUUAGAGGGGCUUAAUAGGGUGUAGAAGUAGGACAAAUGAUAGAAAUGAACAACCAAAGCCGGAUGCCCUCGAUUCCUAUUUAUAGGGUGAAUUUUGGGUCUCACGUCGUGAGUUUUUCAUAACUCAUGUCGUGAGUCAGCUCCGAUUCGCUCAUGGCAUGCGUCACACAUCAAGUGGCUCUGGAAGGGUCAUUCAAGGGGCUCACGUCGUGAGUUUUACAAAACUCACAUCAUGAGUUGUCACACCCCGCUAAAGCGGAAACGCAAGGUAUGACAGCGAUAACGGUUUCAUUGCAAAAGAUAAAGAUACAUCACCAUAGCAGUAUUUAAAAGUUUACAACCCAUAGCUUCAAAAGAAACAAAAUACAAGUUUUUCAAAAUAACAUUGUUCAAAAUAUAACUUCAUAAUAGCUUCAACACGAUGCAGCAUGCUCUAUGAUGAUGAAUCUUUACAUCCACUUACUAAUUAUUUCCUGAAAAAGCAUGUAAAACGAGCGUCAACUAUGAAAAUAGUUGGUGAGUUCACAAGUUUAUAAAAUCGAGCUUGAAAUAAGGCUUUUCGUAAAUACAAGUACAUUGCUUUAAUGAUAAACAAAGUUGAUUGCUAUUAAUGAAUACAAGUUUAUUGCUAUAACGAGAAACGAGUUUGUAUGUGUAUGAGCAAACAAUGAGUCUCAACCAAACCUAUGACUGAAGCCCUAUCGAGAUCUAUGCUUAUCGUUCCAUAGAUGAAUAUGGUAUCAUGCACUCCAGCGAUUCGGGCGAGUGAGGAGUUGUCAAUUCCUAAUAGCGCUAUCCAUAAUGACCAUUGGCUCAAAGAGUUAAUGGUUAGAGAUAAGGGAAGGGCCUUAGUACGAUAAGUUCUCAUGUUCCGUGUUGCAUAGACAUACAUAGAGAGACAUAGCAAUACAAUAGCAAUCGUGUUUGAUACAAAUCAAUUUAAAUACAACAUGCAAAUAAUAGUUUUUCUGGACAUGCUUUUCCACCCCAAAACAUAAAAACUGAAAAUAGGGGAGUGCGUGAAUACUCACAAUAUGCAAAAUAUAGUAAUCAAGUUUAUACGAAUCAAUUAAAUAUAACGAACAUAAGUAGUUUAGGACAUGCUUUUCCACCCCAAAACAUAAAAACUGAAAAUAGGGGAGUGCGUGAAUACUCACGAUGUUUUGUGUAGACACAAGCGGUACUUCGGGAUGCACCAACGUCUUACUACCGGGAUCCUACGACAUCAAACACACGCACUAGUGAGUUUCCAUGUCGAUAUCUAAUGCUAAUAUACUAAACUCUACAUAUAGGGAAAUGCCAAUUUAUGUUUUAGUAUUGGAUUUUAUAUCAAUUAGUUACACUUUUUCUGAAGUAAUGAAAUUCUAUAUAUCGGGCGAUUAAUUACAACCUUGGAAUAUAAACUUUCCAAAUUUUUAAGUCUCUAUAACAACAUAAAUUCACGAAAAAUAGCAUUCGAGGGAUAAAAAUUCUCAAACUUUUUAUUUAAAUGUUAUUACACAAUAAUAAGUUGGGAAAAAUAUAAAAAUGGAUUUCCAAGCUGUUUAAUUAUAUUUUAUGAUUUUUGAGCAUUUAUUUCAAUAAAAAUUGAAAUAAAUAGAAACCAGUUUCCAAAAUUACCCAAACUUUUUAUUUAAUUGUUAUUAUACAUAUCUAGGCUGGUAAAAAUAUAAAAGAUAUUUUUCAGUGGGUAUUUGUAUUUUUUCCUUGUUUUAUUCCUUUAAAUAGUCAUUAAUUAAAGAAAUAAUAUUAAACAGUUAAAAUAAAUUACCAUAAAUUUUUGUAACAUCAUUUACAGUAUAAAUAUCCUGGGAAAAAUAUCAAAAGUGGUUUUCAUCAUGUAUAAACUGGUUUUGGGUUUUUAUGUAUAUUUAAGUGUAUUUUAGUGCAAUUAACUUUAGAAAAUAAGAGAAAAAUAGUUUACAGUAGAGAAAAAUAUUAAAAAAUUUUAUGUAACCUCCUACUGUAUAAUGUUAUAUCCUGGUAAAUUUUCAUGAAUUUUGGAUAAUCAGAACUAUUUUGUCCAUUUUUAGACCAUUAUAAUUACCAAGAAUUGGUAAAAAUAGUAAGACAUGAUGAAAAAUCUUGACAUUAUUUUCUGAAGUCGCCCAUGGCAGUUAAGGUAUGCGAAAAUUGUUAGAUAUAAUUUUCAUAUCCUCUAAGGGGGUUUUGUAAUUUAUCAUGUCCUAAAUAAAAGAAAAUUAGAAAUCGUAUUAAACAGUAACAAAAAUUUCUGAAAUUUGGUGAGGGGUCAUUAUUCCCCAUAUCUAUCAUCCAUGAAUUUAUUUAGGAUUUAUUGAUCUCUGGAAUUAUUUUAUAUGAUUUAUGCCCUUGGUUUUAGCAAUAACUCUAAUAAAUCAAAGAAAUAACAAAAGCUCUUGAAAUUUCCCAGAUUAUCUCAUGCAUGCAAGGGCAUUCAAAAGGAAAAAUGUAAAAAAAGUAUUCAGAAGAGAAAUGAGGGUAAUGAUUCCAAACAAUUUAAGAAAAGUUGCAUGCAAUAAUGCAUGAAGUGUAAAUGUGGCUGAAAUUCAUGAAUUUGUGUAGCCCAUUCAGUGAGGUUUUAAGCCACGAAAUUUCAACCAUCAUUCACUAGAUAUGUUAAGUUUCUAAGGUAUUUUUCCUCAGAUUUAUGGUUGGGUUUAAGGCCAUUGUUUAAGCAAGAUAAAAAUAGUGAUCACAGAAAAAGAGCUGUAUGCGCAACCUUUUUGUAAAAUCUGCCAAAAAUCGGAUAUUUAAUAUUUUACAGUAAGACCAGUUGGGUUUGAAAGUUAAUUCGUGGAACUAACCAAUACAAAAAGAAUAUCAUGAUUUGGUUAAGAAAUGACUGAGUUAUGACUGUUCAAAGUCGAACAAAGUAAUCUGGCAGAUUGCAUGUUUGCUUGUGUGCAUUAUUAGGGUAUUUCAACAAGAACAUCAUGCAUGUCUUUGGUAAGGCCCGAUUUCUAACACAUGCAUGGAAUGAAUGAGCAUCCAAGAUGUACUAGAAAUGGUUUAAAUGCUUUUGUUCAUGCAUGAACACAAAAGAAAUGGAGAAGAACAUGAAAUAUUAGGUUUUGAUGUCACAUGAUCAUAUGUGCAUCUUUUCCACUCCUUGCAUGGGUUUGAUCCCGGAUUUUCACCAUCUCUAACACAUGCAUUGUGUUAUGGUGAGAAUCUACAAACCACAAGGGGAGAAUAAAGAUUUCUAGCCAUGGAAAGGCAUAGAAUCCGAAAAGUAGAGAAGACUAAGAAGAAAAAGAGGUUUAACCAUGAAACUAUGGAAGAAGAUGUUGUUGUUUACCUUGGUUUUGACCUUGAGAGAAGUAAGAACACUUCAAGGGCUUCACAAUCUCGAAAUUUUGCAGAGAAAUGAGAGGAUUUUCGUGAGUUUAGAGAGAGGGAAGAAGAGAGUGAAGUGUGUGAAGAGAGUGAAGUGANNNNNNNNNNNNNNNNNNNNNNNNNNNNNNNNNNNNNNNNNNNNNNNNNNNNNNNNNNNNNNNNNNNNNNNNNNNNNNNNNNNNNNNNNNNNNNNNNNNNNNNNNNNNNNNNNNNNNNNNNNNNNNNNNNNNNNNNNNNNNNNNNNNNNNNNNNNNNNNNNNNNNNNNNNNNNNNNNNNNNNNNNNNNNNNNNNNNNNNNNNNNNNNNNNNNNNNNNNNNNNNNNNNNNNNNNNNNNNNNNNNNNNNNNNNNNNNNNNNNNNNNNNNNNNNNNNNNNNNNNNNNNNNNNNNNNNNNNNNNNNNNNNNNNNNNNNNNNNNNNNNNNNNNNNNNNNNNNNNNNNNNNNNNNNNNNNNNNNNNNNNNNNNNNNNNNNNNNNNNNNNNNNNNNNNNNNNNNNNNNNNNNNNNNNNNNNNNNNNNNNNNNNNNNNNNNNNNNUCAUAACUUUCGCAUCCAAGCUCCGUUUUCGACGUUCUUUAUAUGCACGCGUAGGUGAGAUUAUGAUCUACAACUCUCGUUUAGACUCCCUUGGCUAAUUUUGACUUUAUUUUUAAUAUAUUAUUAAUAUAUUAUCUUUAUAUUAUUUUUAGUAGGCCGGGACAUGAAAACUCCGUCAUAAAUCCAUAACUUCUUCAUCCGACGUCCGUCUUCGUCAGACAUUUUACCGUGGCGCUACUAUUGUUGAUACCUUCGAUUCUCAUUUAGUUUGUGUCGGCUAAAAGUAUCUCGAUUUCUAUUUCGAGUUUUUAGCUGUCUACUGCUCUAUCUGUAACUUAGAAAAAUCAUAACUUCCUCAUACGAAGUCAGAUUUGGACGUUCUUUUUACGUAUGUUUACGGUUUAAUGAUAUCUACAACUUUCAUUUAGAUACUUAAAGCUAAAACUAUUGUAUCGAAACUUCGUGUUUUUACGUCUAUUCAUAUUGCCGGUUUUGUCGGGAAUCUUAGAAUGGUUAUAACUUCUUCGUUAUAACUCGGAUUCUAGUGUUCUUUAUAUGUACGAAAACCUUGAUACGAUUCCUACCACUUUAUUUAACCCAAAUAAGAUUUUAUUAAAAUUAAAUUUUGACAUAUGUUUGACUAGUUUUACAUUAUAUUGUCUCGAAAUAUCGGGUUGACACAUGGUGGCCCAUGUCUCAUAUAUAUAGGGUGAGGAGUGUGUGGCUUAGAAGAGAGAGAAGAGGAGAGGAGCAUGUUCUGGAGAGAAGAAUAGUGUGUGUGAGAGAAUCUAUGUAUAUGGAGCAUCACUCAAUUUAUUGAAUACAUCAUUAGAUUCAUCUUAAUUCUUCUUUUUCUCUUCUUAUUUUGAUCUGACAUCAUCCAAUUGAUUGAGAUUUUGUAUCAUCAAUUGGAUCUGAUUGAUACACAAGCACACAUGUAGCAGCACACAAGAGUGCAGCCGCACACGCGUGUACGGCUGCACACAGUGUGCGGCCGCACACACAGUAACGACACACACACCCACAACCAAGCUAUAAUUACUACAACACUCCCCAACAUCCUACCAAGACCUAUACAAAAGAAUGCCUAGCCCAAACCACAUAAUUAUGACCUAACAGGGUGGCAAAUCGGGCCAUUGUUUCGUGUUUUUGUCUAACACGACACGACACGACAAGGUUUUAUGUAACACGAACAUGACAGGACACGAUGUUGUGUUUUUUUUAACUAACACGAAAACGAACCGAUUAAAAAAUGACAAACAAGAGAUGACACGACAAAGAUAACAUAAUAAAAAAUUAGUUUAUUUAAUUAAUAUUUAAUCAUACAUAACACGAAAAACACAAAAACCACGACAAACAAAUGCUAAAUCAUGUCAAUUUCGUGUCGAAUUUUAAACCCGAACACGACACAACACGACAUCGUGUUUUUUACACUUAAAAUGAACACGACAUGAACACGAAUUUGAAUUUCAGUUUCGUCCCAAUUUUGUAUCGUGUCGUGUAUUUUUGUCAUGUCGUCUCAAAAAUUACUACCCCUAAGAUUAACGAAAGUUUAUAAAGAUCCUAGAUCACAAGACUUCGAUUGUUUGGGAUUAGACCCCUAGUUGAAACAACGGCAGAUGCUGGAGCUGUAGUCUCCCAACGAUUCCCUGAGGAUCCUGCGCUAUCAUAAUUUAGGAUCUUGGGUUGCAAGAUUGAGGAUGUUGCGUCAUCAGAUUUUCAGAUCUCUGCUCUUAUUGUUUCCAUCUCCUUGAGCAAUGUCAUGUUGUCCUCCUCUUGUUGACUCACAUGUUUCUUCAACAUCUUCAUCAUGGAGAAGAGUUCAUUGUUGGACAUCAAAAUGGGAGGAUCCAAGAAUCCACCGGAUCCUAGACUUUCAUGGCUAGUGAUCUGAGAGAUGCUCUUCUUAAAGGUAUCAGAUGCUUUCUUCUGAUUAGGAGGUCUGUGUGGAGGUGGUAUGAGAUUUUUUGAAGAAUGGUAGGAACAGAGGAAGAAGAUAAAUUUGGUUGUGUAGAAAUGAUUUUUAACAAUUUUGAACACCACGGCCCCACGGUGGGCGACAAAUUGUUUUGGUCAAAAAAUGAUCAAGGAAAUAUCAACCAAAUUGUAUGAGAAGUUGUGGUGUAGUAAUAAAUAUGAAUAUGAAAAUGAAAUCAAAGUGACAUGAGUGAUCUUACAAGGAAAGCCCUUGAUCCUUGCUAGGAUCUCCGGCAAAAAACCUUGGGAGGUGAUAAUGAUCACCUGCCUUGUUUAAUUUUAUUAAUCGAAAAGUAAAUUACGAAAUGUGUUUGAGAAUAUGAGUACAAGCGAUUCAGUCACUCUAGGUGUCCAUUAUACUAUUUAUACAUGUGUAUUUAUAACCUAGGUUGAGUAACUAGAUGCCCGAUAUUCAUGGGAUCCUUAUGAACAAGCUUUUGCAUGUUGCCUUGACUUGGUAACUUCGGGUUUUAAGCUUCACUGGAGCGAUUCUUUAUUGUAGACGUGUCUUGUGUUUACUAUUUCUACACAUGUGAAUAAUAAAGACAUGUCUUUUGUUAAAUAUAUAAUUUAAGAGGAUGGUAUGAGUAUGGCCCACGAAGGGUACUUUUUGAAUUUUAAAAAAUGAUGUACAAAUGGUAAAUUGGAUACAAAAUGAUAUAUGUACAUCUUAAUAUUUUUACCAAGUUAAAGUGUAAUGCUAUAAAUGAUUAGAAUUUUCAAAGUACAUGCCUUAAUAGUUAUUUGUGUUCGAUCUUCAUGACAAAUUUCCCGUUCGUAAUUUACCAUUUUGUCAUCAAUUGCGAAACAUGUUCAUGGUGUAUCUUGGCCACCCCACGUAUAUAUGCAUGGGUCAUUUUUCAUGGAUUUUUGUUGUAGUGGUGGUGGCUCCUGGUAAGAAGGAAGCGUAUUAGAAACUAACCUAAUUUGUUUGGGCAUGACAUUGUCUGUGGUACACUUGCUAGAUAGAAUAAAAAUAGUAUGAGGUCAUUAGUAUGAAAGUUCCAUAAAUGUGUAGAUAAUAAAAAAAAAUCAAUACAAAUAGUAUGAUGUCCUUAGUGUUAAAAUUACAAUUAUAUUAGUCUAUCAUUUGGAAAAAUGGCAAACUUGAUAUUGAUUUGAUUAAGCAUCUAAAUGAUAAACUAAUUUCGCAAAGUAGAAGUUCUUUUAGAAAUGGAGAACAUUCCAAAUAGUAAGAGUACAUCUAGAGCCUCAUAAUCACUAAAUUUAAUUCUCUUUUUCCAUGUCACUGAAAAAUUAUCUACAACUCUAGUAAUUAAUAUGUUUUUAUUGAAAUUUAAUAGGUAGGAUCAUCUCGAAGUCCAAAUCAGCAUCAAUUUGUAAUUAAUUUUUUGUGUUUACUUGCUAAUCUACCAUAUUAACCUUUUAAAGGAAUUUACAUAUGUGUAUCAAAAAUGUUGGAAAUUAUAAUGAAAUAUGAAAGGUGUCUAGUUUCCAUUAUCACAUAUUGGUGGGGGAAGAAACAUUUAGUGGGUUUACAGUGCUUUUAUCUAGAUAAGCCUUUAAAGGUUUUUAGUGGAUCAAGGGAUGGGCCAGGCCCACAUACGCACACCUAGCAUAGAGAGACUUGACACCACUGUGACUGCUUUCGGUUUUAAACACAAUAGUGUUGAAAGGUGUAUUUAUUCCAAAUUCACUUCUGAAUACAUAGGUUUUAUAUGUAUUUAUGUUGAUGAUAUGGUGAUCAUUAGCACUCACAUAAAAUGUAUUCUUGAGAUGAAGAAAUACAUAUCCUCGAACUUUAAGAAGAAAGAUCUUUGAGAAGUUGAUAAAAUUCUUGGUAUUAAGGUAAAAAGGACAAGCAAUCAGAUUUCUCGAAGUCAAUCUCAUUAUAUAGAGAAAAUUUUGACAAAGUUUCAGCAUUUGAAUAUUAAGGAAUUCAACACUCCUUUUGAUUUAAGUGUGAAACAAAAUGUGAAUUUUGGUUGGGCAGUGGCUCAUCUAGAACAUGCAAGUGCAAUUGGGAGCUUGAUGUAUGCUACACAUCGCACUCAACCUGACAUCGCAUUCACUGUAAGCAAACUUAGUCAGUAUACUAUCAAUCCAUGGAUGGAGCACUAGAAGGUAGUGGGUAGAGUNNNNNNNNNNNNNNNNNNNNNNNNNNNNNNNNNNNNAUGGAAUUGAUUGAGUGACUCGACGAGUUGUAUGCCCAACUCGUCGAGUACAGUCGGAUUGGUUACGUGGAUUUAAUGACCAACUUGACGAGUUAGAGAGCCGACUCGCCGAGUUGGUGCUGUGUGAAGAAACCCUAAAUCUUUGGGGUUAGGCCCUAUUUAAAGGACCUUAAGCCCUCAUUUCCGCCUCACCAGCUACCUUACUCCCCAGAGUGAAACCCUAAUCGCCUAUAGUGAGCUAAGAGAGAAAAGAUAUUUAAUCUUGGGCAUUUUUGUGAUCUUUUGGACGAGAAGUGGAGAGCAUCAAAGCUUGGAUCAAGAGGAGGAUUUUGGAUCGAGAGAUUCUUCAUGGAUUUGCUUCAGUUGGAGGUAAAAAUAUGCUAAAUUGAUCAUUUCCUUAUGAGGUCUUGGUUUAGGGAGGUUUUAGGGUUUUCUCUCAUCCAUCUUGUAUCAUUGAGUCAUUUUAGCAUGGCUUGAGGUCGGAACCUUAGAUCUGGAUUGUAGGAGGCCUUGUGAGUCCAAAGACCCGAGCUUUAUUGACCUGGAGGCAAGAUCUUGUGCAUCUAACCCUUGUUGGAGCUUGUAUUGGCAUUAUGAGCUUAAUAUGCCAUGUAUGAACGUAAAGCUUGCAGCUUUACGUGAUAAUCGAGCCUUAGGAACAUAGAGAUGGAGUAUGGGCCAUCAGUUAUGCCUUAAAACGUCAGAAUGAGAAUUAGACUUAAGGGACUCGACGAUUCGAUGAGUUGACUCGAUGAAUCGGUUGGAGUUUGUCCCGAUGAGUCCGAACACGCUGUAACCCGGUGAGUUGACGGGUCAAAUCGGCGAGUAGAGUUAGACUUUCAUGAGGGUUAUGAGGAACCAAAGGGACUCGACGAGUCACAUAGAUGCACUCGACGAGUUGGGUCAACAUGGACUGUUGACUCGAGUGUUGACUUAUGUUGCCUUUAGGGUUUGGUCAACUUGAGGGAUGGAGGUCAUGGAGGGGUAAAAUGUUCUUUUACCCAUCCCAAGAGUUAAAGAGGGACUAUCAUGAUUUGUGAUCUUUAAGUGUUAAUUAGAGAUGCUUGUUAUAUGUAGGCGGGGAUUAGACUGUUCGAGGGGUAUUCAGUUUCCUUGCUUUCUUACGAGGUGAGUCUUCUCACUAUACUUACCUAUAGUGGUAAUCUUUGUGUGACCGGAGGGUCUUAUAUGCUUAUAUUGAGGAUUAUGAUAUCCUGCAUUAUGUCUUUGUGAUUUAUGUUCUGUAUUAUUCUAAGCUUACUGAGUUUGGACCGGAGGGUCCAACCGAGUUGCGAGACCGAGGGUUCCAUAGAGACACAUUGACCGGAGGGUCUUGUUUGAGUAUAGUCAUGAGAGGCUAAUGAGAUGUGUGUGGUAUUUUUGGGAACUCACUAAGCUUCGUGUUUACCGUGUUAUGUGAUAUGUGUUUCAGGUACUUCUCAUGAUCGCGGGAAGGCGCCGACUUGAUUGUACACACAAGAUGGAGUUAUGUUUUAGAGGAUCCUGGAUUUUAUUCAACAAUUAUGAAUAUGUGUUUUCGAUAAUUUGACGAUUGGGGAUUUUGUGAAAAGUGUUGAUGAGAUUUAUGUGAUUUUAAAAUGAAAAUUUUGUUUGAAAAUUUAUGGUGUUACAAGUUGGUAUCAGAGCCUUGGUUUGAGGGAUUCAGAUGUACCUUCAGGUGUGUCUGGACUCAAACUGAGGAUUUGAAAAAAAAUUCAAAAGAAAUGAUUUUUCAAAAAUGAGAAAUAGUUUUAAGAGAAAACGAGCUGGAGCACUGUGUACAAUCAGCCAGAGCACGAAUGGUGAUUUCCCAAAAUACCAUUAAUUAUUUGAGCUGCGAGAUAUUUUUGAGAUAUUAGUGAUGCAUGCAAGAGGAUAGUCUAGGUAUUUCAUAUUUUAGGGCUAAAGUUGCCUAAUUUGUGAUGCCUUAGCCUAGGAGUUGUUGCUACCUGUUAUGUGCCUUGAGUAUGUGCUGAGUAGGAGUAUCUAGCAGGAAUAUUUUAGAGAGAGAUUCGAGUACUGGAGUAAUGUAGGAGAGAUACCUAGAUGUGCUUUUGGAGGAAUCUUCUGAGAGGGUAGUCAGAUGCCACAAAGGGUAGGGUUACCUGAGUCGGCGAUGCCUUUUAAGUUGUGGAUAGAGCGAGAUGAGAAAUUUCCUGACAUUUCUAGUGAAUCGAUAGAAAGGUGGAUAUCGGUGUUUUACAUCACCCAACAGAUUCACCAGCAUGGGUUGCCAUAGAUGAGAAAUUUCCUGACAUUGCUAGUGAACCAAUAAAUAUGUGGCUAGGCAUUUCUCUUGACAGGGUUGAUGUGAAUAGAGGAAAUAGGAAUCAUAGUGUAUGGCCUAUUUUAACUAUCAAUUACAACCUUCCACCAUGGUUGUGUAUGAAGAGAAAGUUUAUCAUGAUUUCGUUAUUGAUAUCAGGAACACUAGGAAAUAAUAUGCAUGUGUUCCUUGCACCUUUAGUUAAUGAUUUACAUAUAUUAUUUGAUAAUGGAGUCGAAACAUAUGAUACAUAUGCACAAGAUAAGUUUAAUCUACAUGCAGUUGUGUUAUGGACGAUUAAUUGUUACCCAGCUCUUGUUACAUUAUGUGGUUGGCCUUACAACGGGUUCAAAGGAUGUGUUGUGUGUGGUGAACAAACACACUGUAUUAGACUCCCUGGAUCAAAUAAGCAAACUUAUGUUGGUUAUAGGUGAUAUCUACCAUAUGACCACUCAUUCAUAAGACAAAAGAGGGCUUUCAGUGGAGAGAAAGAAUUCUCACCAUCUCCAAUACCUAUAAAUGGGGAGGAAUAUAUAACAAGGUCAAAUUUAUAAUUAAUAAAUGGUGAAAAGUAUCUAAGGGCAAGGAAUAAUAAUUCCAAAAAUCUUCUACCGGAAGAGGUGGGUAUAUAACAAAAAAAAAAGAGAAAAUCAAAGAAAGUGGGUACUUCAGAUGUUAGCCAACACGAUACCACAUACUGGAAGAAAUUUAAUAUAUGGUAUAGACGACUGAAGUACUAGCAACAUAAUUUUGAUUCCACAUUGUUUAGAUUUUAUGCACAUUAAAAAGAAUGUGGGAGAGAGUCUAGUCGGAACAAUUCUGAACAUUCCGGGGAAGAAGAAAGAUGGUUAUAAAGCUCGAUUAGAUUUUUUGUAUUAUGGGUUAAAACUAGAGUUUCAUCCUAAGAAAGAUGGGAACAAGACCACAUUCCCCCAGCAGGUUGCACAUUGACAAAAGAGGAAAAAGAGAAGUUCUUAGAAACUUUAUACCGCUUAAGGGUUCCACAAAGGUAUUGUUCUAAUUUUUCUUGUUUGGUGAGUCUGAAGGAUAAGGUGAGUCCGAAGGAUAAGAAGCUCGUCGGACUCGAGUCACAUGACUAUCACAUGCUCAUGCAACAAUUUUUUACCAUAGCAAUAUGGUCUAUUAUGCAUCCACUCACCAGAGUUGCUAUUACAACGUUUUGUUUCUUUUUCCAAACAAUAUGUAGCAAAGAAAUCAAAGUGAAUGAGCUCGAUAAGUUGCAAGAAGAGUUAUGUGUGACCUUAUGCCUUCUUGAGAAACAAUUUCCACCAUCAUUUUUUGAUGUAAUGAUUCACUUAACCAUUUACCUUACUAGGGAAGUAAAAUUAAGUGGUCCAAUAUUCUUCAGAUGGAUGUACCCGUUCAAAAGGUGUAUGAAGGUUAUUAAGGAGCACGUGUGAAACAAAAAUGGACCAGAAGGUUGCAUUGCAGAAGAGAAUGUUGCAAAAGAGACGAUUGAGUUUAUCAGUGAAUUCAUAAAAAACAUGGAUAUUGUUAGUCUUCCACCUGAUAAUCAUAACACAAGUGGAAUUCAUAAACGUGAACAUAGUAGUUCUACUACGGAUGACACUCCUCUAUCAACUGCUAAACCAGGAGAAGUUUCUUCACCAUUCUUCAGCAAAGCACAUUUUUUUGUAUAGCGAAAUACAUCUGAAGUAAAACCAUAUAUUAAGUAAGCUUUUUUACAUGUAUGCAUUUUUUUUUCUUAUUAUACACUAUUGUGUUCUUUUCACAAUAACAUUUACAUAUGUACAGACGACACAUGGAUUUUUUGCAACCAAAACACCCGAUUAAACGAAAAGCAUAGCUAGAUCAAGAGCACAAUAAUACAUUUGGUCAUUGGUGACGACAGGAGGUAUAUUCUUUUCAUAUAUGUUGUUUUAUUUGUUGUGUAUUUCUUUAUAUCUUAAAUUCAUAAUCUAAUUACAAUUCAGGUAGAGAGAGAGAGAGAGAGUUACGGGUGUAGAGAAANUAAGUGGUACCCCAACCCAUUGAGUGGUUGUUAUAGCAAUGUACUAUGGCAUGUACUUUCCAAUACACUCUUGCUAAUCAUUAUGCAUUUUUUAUAUCUUAAAUUCAUAUUCUAAUACUAUUCAGGUAGAGAAGGAGUUAGGGGUCUACAGAGAAAGCAUAAAAGAGACAAUAAGAUGGAUUUCAUAUGGACCAAACAAAAAUAUUAUUAAAUACGAUUUAUAAGUUAUCAGUGGUUAUACUUUUCGUACAAAAGCUCGUGAAGGAAAAUUUUACCAAGACAGUGGGGUCAGUGUCAUUGCAACUGCAACACACAUUAGUAAUGAAGUUGUAAUGUAUGUCAAAAGCACUUAUUAUGGUGUUUUACAAGAGAUAUGGGUACUAGAUUAUCAUUUUAAACAAAUUCCAAUUUUCAUGUGUGAAUGGGUUGAGAAUAAACAUGGGGUUAAGAAGGAUAGACUAGGGUACACACUAGUUGAGCUAAAAAGAUUAGGCUAUAAAGUUGAUCCCUUCAUAUUAGCCUCACAAGCACGACAAGUAUUUUAUGUGACAGCCCGCUCGAUAAAAAAAAUGUCUAUUUUCAUUAGCACACCUUUCAAAAAUUACAGAUAUGCAUAUAAGGAUGUCAAUGAACAAUUUGGUAUUGUAGUUUCUCCUUGUAGCAAUAUUAUUAUUCCAUAUUUUAAAAUAUUAUAAUAUUUACUUUUGUUUAUAGAAGGGCGUUGUCUUUUCCCUCCAGGGCUGUCGCCGCUAAUACCCUAGUGUUGCCGCUAAAACCCUAGUGUCGCCGCUAAUACAUGUCGCUGCUAAAGGCUGUCGUAGAUNNCCCCCCCAACUGCGUCUCUUUCCUGUUCGUUCUGUCUCCUUUCAUUCUUCCAACGAUUACCGGCGACUGCAUCAUUCAAUCGUCCGACGACCUUAGUUUGCACCACAGGACUCGUCUCCGGUAACCAUUACCGCCGGCCACCAGUGGAGCUCCAUUAUUACCGGCAACCACAUUCAUUUUCAGCAACAGAAGGAUCGAUUUAAGGUCUGAUUUCUCCCCUAUUUUCGAUUCAACUUCUAUUUUGGUGUUUUCCUUACUGGUUUUAAGUAUUUAAUUUAAGGUUUUUGGAACCCUUGCCGAAAAAUCUAGUUCUGCCGGAUAUGUUGCCGGAAAUGUGGAAUUCAUACCGGAAAAUCUCGAAAUUACACUAGCAUAGGUUCCUUUUCAUGACUUUUGUAUAUUAUUUGCAUGUGAUUUGUAUGUUUUUAUGUGAUAUUUGUAUGGUUAUUAUUUGGAAUUUCAGAAUUCUUAUCGAAAUUGUUGUCGGAAUUGUUUUUGUGUGUUAUUUGUAUGUGUAUUAUUUGUGUAUGUGUAGCACCUGGUUCCUGGUACAUAAAUAUUAUUUGAGUAUUUCCCUUCUUUUAGCCUUGGACUUGGCGAGUCAUAGGUCCGACUCGCCGAGUGGAUGCGGGACCCGGGACAAGUUUAAGUUGGCGACUCGGCGAGUCCAUAUCCUGGACUCGGCGAGUCACAGUUGUUGGAUGAAACCCUAAGUUUCAGGGGUUUGCACCCUAUUUAAACGACUUAACUACCCAAGCCAGCCCCCAUUCACCCUCAGAGCCCUAUAUCUCUCUCUAGCCUUGCUUUCUUGUGAGUUUGAUGUGUUUUGUGGUGUUAUUGAAGUUUCUUUGAAGGAAAAGAAGAGGGAAUCAAGAAGAGGAGAAGGAGGCCAAGCAUCUCUGUGUCAUUCCAACGUUUCCCCUAAGGUAUAGCUCGUUUCCCCUCUGUUUUUAAGCUUAUAGCUCCAUAAAAGUCCUUUUUGAGCCAUUUCCAAGAUUGUGUAUGCUUGAGGGUUUGUAAUAAGUCGAUUGGCCUCUAGAUCUAGGCAAGAUUGAGCUCCAGGAGCUCAGAUCUGUUAGCUUUAUGGCCCCAUGUUGCUUGUUCACCCUAGAUCUACCCUUUUGAGGCAUUUUGAGCCCUAAAAUCCAUAUUGGUGAAUAUCCACACGUAAAGUUGGAAACUUUACGUGUGAUUCGUGUCCUAGAAGUCCAGAUCUGUGAAUGGCAUGGACUGGAAUCGAGCAAAUCUGUGUAUUUAGUGGGUGCAUGGCAACGACUCGGCGAGUCGUUCAUGUGACUCGGCGAGUCUGUUCGCGAGUCUCCGAGUUUGUCCCCUUUUCGUAGUGUCGAGUGAGCAGUGAGUCACGGGGUGUGACUCAGUGAGUCGGAAGCUGAACUCAUCUAUGGAGGUACUCGGCGAGUCAAUGCCCUGACUCGGCGAGUUCAAGGCAAUCUCCUUAGAUCAAGAACAGACUCGGCGAGUUGUUCAUACAACUCGGCGAGUCUUAGCAUAAGUGUUCAUCGGAUGAAGAUGAACUCGACGAGUUGUUCAUACAACUCGGCGAGUAGGAUGAAGGACUUGAAUAUCAGUUUAGAAGGAGAACUCGUCGAGUCGUCGCCUAACUCGACGAGUAGGAACGGGAUCCAGGACAAUCGUUUGGGUGGUGACUCGGCGAGUUGGAAAGCCAACUCGGCGAGUCGGGUCAACUGAAAGUUGACUCUGACUUUGACUUAGGGCAUGGUCAGGGGUAAAAUGGUCAUUUUACCCAAAGGUCAGUGAGCAGUGUUUGAUUGAGUAUGUUGUGGGAAUUGCAGCCGGAGGAUUUCCGGAGCAGCAGCAGCAGCAGUAGGCAGUCAGUUCCCGAUCAGAUCAGCAGCUACUUCGAGGUGAGUUACCUUCCAGUAGCGGUGGGUCUACGGCCACAAUGCCGGCCCACCAGUAGGAGUUAUAUGUAGAUGUUUGUCUCUGUGAUAUUCAUCUAGGGAUUACUACUACCUGUGUUAUGUUAUGUGCUAGUAUGAUAUGAUGCUAUGUGCUAGUGACAGUAGGGGGAGAUAGUCCCCGAGGUUCCCGGUCGGUAGGGCCGAAGGGGUAGUUAUACCCAGUCAUGAUAGAUAGAUUCUGAUCUUAUGAUACUUGUUAUGUGGUAGUAGUAGAGGGAAGGAAUAGUUUCCCAGUAUUCGGUCGAGAGGACCGAAGGGGAGGCCAGCACCCAGAUAUGCUAGGCAGUAUCCGGUCGAGAGGACCGAAGGGGAGACCAGCACCCAGAUAUGCUAGGCAGUAUCCGGUCGAGAAGACCGAAGGGGAAGCCAACACCCAGAUAUGCUAGGCAAUGUCCGGUCGAGAGGGCCGAAGGGGUAGGUCGGGCACCCAGAUGUGCCUGAUAGUAUAUGUAUGUUAUGAGAUUAUAUGGUAUGUGGUACAGUGGGGGAACUCACUAAGCUUUGUGCUUACGGUUUUCAGUUUUGGUUUCAGGUACCUCCUCAGCUAGGGGAAAGGAGUCGGCGCGGUAGCAGCAUGUCACACACACACUCUCUGGUUUCCGCAUUUACGAGCUUCACUGGGAUUUGUACUCUGAUAUUUUGAUUGGUUGUAUGAUUUGGCUUUUAGACAUGGUUCACGUUGUGUUAUGGUUGAUCAAACAAUGUUUUUAGUUAUUAAUAUUUUCUAAAGUAAUGUUUUAAAACAAAAUUUUUGGUCGUGAAAAUUGGGUCGUUACAGUAUGUAUAUGUGUAUGAGUUUGAAAUUAUAUAUGUGAUUUGUAUGUAUGCAAAAAAUGAAAAAAUAGGUUGCUAUAAUAGAAAAAUAAGUAUGAUGCUAUAAUAAAUAUGUGUAGGAAAAUAUUUAUGUGUAUUUGUAUCAAAUUAAUUAUAAUUAUAAAAUCACAUUAAAUUAAUUAUAAAAUCAAAUUAAUAGUAAUAUUAAAAUAAAAUAAUUUUAAUUUUAAAAUCAAAUUAAAUUAAUUUAAAAAAUUAAACCAAAAUAUUGUCAUGCUUCAUUACACUAAACCGAUUCUUUAUAAUUAUACAUAUAUUAUAUUUUAUAAUUAUUAGGAUAUUAUGGGAAUAAAAAGAUUCGAAGAUAAUAAAAACUUAGUGUUGUAAUAAACUUAAACAUAUAUGCAGUAACGUGGUAUUUUAGUUUUAAAAUUAUUCAUAAUCAUAAAUUGUAUUGUAAAACUAUUUAAUUAAUUUUUUCUAUUACUAAUUUAGAUAUUAAAUAUAGUUAUAAGAAAUAAUGUAAUGUUAUUAUAAUAUUAAAAUAUGUUUUUGGGGUAAGUUUGUAGUGUGUGGUUGGAAUUGAAAAAUGUUUUGGUGUAAAAUUUACACAAAAAUAAUGUAGAAUAUAGUGUUAAGGUUGGAGUGGCUCUUAUAAAAUAAAAUAAAAUUAAAUAUAAAAUCAAAUUAAACAGUAUAUUUUUUAAACCAUAAUAUUAUGUAAUAUAAUAAUAAAAGUAUGAUGUUAUAAUAGAAAAUAAACAAAAAUAUGAUGUUAUAAUUAAUAAAAUUAUGAUACUUUUUGUAAUAGAAACUUUAUUUGAACUCUAACUUUUAUUCAUAUUGUUUUUUUUUAACUUUUAUUUAUGUUGUUUGUCUAUAUUGCAUAUCUUAUAAUUUUGCAAGAUAACUAACUUUUAUUCAUAUUGUAUUUCUAUAUUGUACAUCUUGUAAUUUUACAGCCUACAAAUGAGGUUUACUUGGGGAAUACUCUUUGUCAUGACGGCCGAUGUUAUGGGCCUUGAACACGGUGGUGAUGGAACUGGGGAUCCGCCACCUCAAGGAGGCUUUGGUCACGGACAUCAUGAACAAGAUGGUAAGUUUUAUUAUGAUAUAUUUAUUAGCUAUUUUUAUUAAUUUAUUAUAAGUUAUCGUGACUAAUAUUUUUAAUUGUAUUUUUUCAGUCGAGCUUCUAAAAAAAGGGCUUGUUAAAGAACAUCGAGCUAGGGAAGUGGAUAUGGGAAAACAAGUGAAAGCCCGUGGAUUUGGAUUUCGACAAGGAGAUCACAUAUUCCCCUAUUGGGAAGCCUGCUAAUUGGUUGUCACAUGAAAUUGGGAGGUAUUUGUGGAACAACGUCCCUUUCAACAUAUCUAGUUGGGACAAUGUUUCUCCUGCGUUAAGGAAUGCAACAGUUGUGUUCAUCUAAAGGUAACUUUGAUAAUAUUUUGAGUUUAGUUGUGAUUGUUAUUUAAUUAACUAACUUUUUUUGUAUUUGUAGAAUAAGUUUGAUUUGGAUAAGGUUAACUUGGAUCCGGAGCGAGCUCAACUGUUGCGGAGCAUUGAUUCGAGUCUUGCAAAAGUUUAUAGAGGCCGAAAAAGUAAAUCGNCGUUGACUCUUCCCUCCAAGGAGCCGCUGCUAUUACCCUUUUGCCACCGCAUUAAACAACCCCCUCCCCCCUCCAAUGAUAUGUCACCUGAAAAUUGGGCGAAAAUAGUCGAACAUUUUCAAACGCCCGAAUUUUUAAGGCGUUUGGCGUCAAACACAGAAGUCCAUGCAAAACAACUAGUUGUAAACAGAGGGGGACCGAGCUCGUACAACAAUGCAUGUUCAAAGAAGUAAGUUAUGAUAUAAUAGUCGGAGUAAUUCUAAUCAACUUGGAUGUGCUAGGGUUAAGUGUACUAAUAAUAGUUGGUGGUUCAUUAUUUGCAGAUAUUAUCCUAGUGGAAACAUCAAUGACCAANUAUAUUUGGUGUAAUAAAGAAUAAAAGUGAUACUAAAACAUUGUUUGGCUUUUAAUUGCUUGUGUUCAUCUUCCUCUCUGUCAUAUUUUUUAAAAACAAAUUACUGAAAGCGUUCCUGUGGUUUGGUCAAAUUUACGUGUUUGGUCCCUAAUAUUUUUGGUAAUUAUCUAUUCGUGGAAUAAGUGAUGAUCCGAUGGUUCUUACUCAGGGAAUCUUUGGGCUUAACUUAGUAUUUUUAUUGAAUCAUCGUGGUUAUAGUAUGAAUCUGGGGUUUUAAUCGAUUCAUAGGGUCUUAACAAGAGAAUUCCUAUCAAUAAUCAAGAAAACAAAUAAUAAACAUUAUAUACAAAAACAAAUAAAAGAAAAAGAAAGAAAUAGGGAAGAGAGGAUUCAAGAGGCCCGUCAGGAUCAAGAUAAAGACGACUGAGCCAACUUGAUAUUUUGGUAUUAUCGCCACAAAGAAGAACUUUCGGAUUUUUUAUUCGUAUCUUCAGAACAGAUGGAGUCGGAAAGUAAUAAGUUUCAAACUUUCUAUUACAUAUCCGUUCGAACCAAUAUUUGGGUGUUUUUGCUUGAGCUGUACGAGAU
rnacentral:lncRNA from 1 species